rnacentral:lncRNA from 1 species
GGUGGAUUGAGGUGAAGCUUGCGUAGCAAGAAAAUACAAUCCCUCAAUCAAAUUAACCGAACCAAUUACUUCUUUCUUGAAUCAAACAUUUAUCAUUGUUAAAGGUUACGAUGCAAUCAAUAUCAACACAUAGUUCAGGAACAAACAACACAUUUUGUGCAACUAAUCCUGGUGAAAACUGCACUGUGCCCCGGAUAUCUUGCUAUUGCCAUAUGGUCAUUUGGUAACUUGAUAUCUAUUGGUGCAAUUUUCUCAUAAGUAUCAAAAGAUGUUAAAGAAUAUAUAUGAUCACUAGAGUCUACUAUCCAUGAUCCAAUAUUUGAGUGAUUGAUUACAUGUGAUGCUAAAUUCACCUUGCUAUUAGAAAGAUGCAUUAAAAUUAGCAUUAGAACCAGAUGAUCAUGCUGUUCUUUUGUGAAACCAUAUGAAUUAUUGCCUUUGUAAACCUUUGAAUAGUCAAUGUGCUCCCUUUCUUCAUUCAAUUCGACCGAAGAGCUUUCUUUCCACUCAAUGAAAGAGCUUUGAUAAUCACAAGUUUGUUCGAAAUUCCGAUCACAAGUUGGUUUAUUUAUAAUGUAGUUUUUUUAGAGUAAUAAAAUAUAAUUUUAUUAAGUUCAAGAAGGAGUACACGUUCAGAAUGACACUUUACUACCACUGGAGAAGUGAACGAUACUUGAGUGCCGUUCAACCAACGACACUUGCAAAAAAGAGAAAUUAUGCAGCGUGAAUAACAUCUUUCUACCUUUCAUUGUUUGUUAUUCCUUACUUUAUUUUCCAAAUAAAAAAAGUACACGUGGUACUAAAUUCUAACCAAGAAAUAAAAUACAAAAAUCACCCUACCCACCACAAAAAAGAAAAAGAAAAAGAAUUGUUCCAAACUCCACCCAAAAGCAAAGCAAAAUGCAAAAAUUACUUCACUAAACAAUCAAGAUGUAAUGAAAACCAUUCAUAGACAAGGCACCCCCAUUUUGUUAAACAAAAGCCACAUUCAAGACAUAAAAUCAACCUUAGAACAGAAAAUGUAGUCGUUCCUUGUCUUUCAAAUUGUCCAAAGUACCAAAUGACAAAUCAAACAAGCCUUUUCUCCCUUUCUAUUUCCUUGCAAAAGCAGAGAAACUCUCUAACAAAGUGAAAAGGUCUCCCAGAAUUACCCAUACCAUACCACACCACACCAAACCUUUACUACAAAUAGCUCCUGCAAACCGACACUUUGCAAACCAAUGGUCUUCGGAUUCUGAUUCCCCCUCACACCAUAAGCAAGUGGGCUGCUGACCCCCACCCAAGAAUAUUACACAAGUGAUUAUAAAUAGAAUUAACCGAAAGGUACCUUGAGAGGUUGCUAGACAUAUCCAACCAUCCUAUUGUUGGGUCAAUUGCACUUCUUAAAUCAAGCGCACCUCCAUUUCUCAAACGGCCAAUGCGAAUGACCAUUUACCCAGUUCCCUAUCUCGGAAACUAAACACCCUUGUUGCUCUGAUCUGAUAUAGCAAAUAGCCUAGGAAACGCUACCGUAAGGGUUGUAGCUCCAGACCACACGGCAUGCCAAUAUCCAUAAUCAUCUUCAUUUCAUUCAAUGCUUCUUGAGCAUUUUCUUCAUCGCUUUUUAAUAACACAAGUUUUUUAAUGAUUUAAUUGCUUCCCUCUUAGAUAGUCAUUUAUUAGUUUCAAAUCCAAAAUAAUCUGAGUUAAACUGUGAUACUAAUAGAAAAAAUACAUUUGCUGAAGGGUUUUCAUAUCAGUAGAGCAAAUAGUCAGACUAGAUAUCUAUGAGCCACAUUAAAAAAUUGUCCAUAUAAUAGUAAUAUAUCAACUAUUUUUUCAUGCACUGGCUUUUUCUUAGUUUUCACAAACAAGGGAAAACAACAUGGUAAGCUGAAUUCUAUGGUUCAUACAUGGAGGUGAAAUGAAAGAAUACGAGCAGAGGACUUGAUAUAUAUAUCCAUAUAAUUUUAUUCCUUGGAUGUUUUCAAAUUUGUUGCAAGUUCUUCGAAGGUAAAAAUAAAACCUUUUUGUCAACUUGUGAUGAUGAAAGCUAAGGGGGCUAAUCGUAGGCAUGCUUGAGGAUAUUGCAUUGCAGAAACUAGUGGGGCUAUGGAUGUGCACUAGUGCGAAAAUGAAAGCAUAAUAAAAAGGAUUAGAACCUAUAUAUAUAUAUAUAUAUAUAUAUAUAUAUAUAUAUAUAUAUAUAUAUAUAUUUUAUAUUUUGCAUAUAAAAAGAAUGUGUAAUAGGAUUAGAACCUAUUACACAUUCUUUUCCUUACAUUUACAUGCUUUAUUGGAUGGAAAUUUGUAAUUGUUUUAGUAUGUAAUUAAAAUUGUGUUGCACAGUUCAUUUCUAUUAUGAAAUCAAAUUUCAAAUGUGUAUAAGAGCAUGUUUGAGAAAUCAAAUUCAAAUUUGUAUGAGAACAUAUUUAGAGUUGCAGAUCUUAACAAGUCUAAGCAAAGUCUAAAUUGGAUGAUUCACAAUUUUAGUCUAGACAACUUUCAACACUUCUUUUUUACAAAUUCUCAAAAUUAUCACAAGUUGCUGAAGCUAUUUAGUAACAGGGGCUUUACCUAAAAAUUGGUCAACUGUUACUAAAUUUAUUUAGUAACAUUUUUCUUGAUUUAGUUACAUUUUUCAACUGUUACUAAAUCUUGUGGUGGAUUAACAUGUGACACUAUGUUUUGUUCUAGGAAACAUAAAUAUAACAUUCAAAAAACAUCUUACCUUAAGACUGUUAAAUAAUUGACCAUUCUGAACUUCUAGUAAAUAGAUGAAUAAUUAAUUGCAUCGUUUUUACCUACUUGAACUACAAGUUAAUUUGAUAGGAUGAAGAAGCAAUCAGAAGGAUUUGCCGAUUACAUUUCAAUAUUCUCUGUUUCAAUUUUUGCAAACAAAUUAAAAGGAUGAUAAAUGACAUCAAUGUUAUAGAAUUGAAAAUGCCACCACUGUGAUUUUAUUUGCAUCUCUUAAAAAAUCUUAAAGCAUUUUCUUGUUUCCUCUAUAAGCUGUGAUGGUGGGAUUUUGUUCAUGAACAGAAAAAACCAGUUGACAUAUAAAGAAUUGUGGAAGAAACUUUAUUUAUGAAUGAAUAGAAGCCAACAAAUCCUAUACACUCUACCAUUAGUUCAGACCUUCAUACAUAGAACAACAAUUUAUAAAAAGUCUGAUUUUAGUCAUUUUUUCUUUAGCAUUUUAAGGACCAAAAAUGCUAACGGAAAAUUCUUAUCGGGACUAAAAAUGCUGACUGAAAAUUUUACAGGUACUAAAAAGUGCGAUUUUAUUUUGAAGGGACUAAAAAUAAAAUUCUAAAUAUUUAUAGGGAUCAUUUACUUAAUACACCAUUGAUAAAGCACAUAGACACCUCUCUUAUGAGAAUUAAGCUACUAUAUGUGCAUAUAUAUACAUAAAUUUUUGUAGGCGGAGUGUGAAGGGUGAAAACGUUUGGAAUGAAUUGCAAGUGAUAAUGAAAAAUGACACAGAUACAGACAGUGGAUGCAAUAGCAAGAAAGAAUUAAUUGAAUAUAGGAAUAAAAUCUUAUCUAUUAGAAAAAAUGGAAUUACUUAAUAAUCCAGAAAGUUGAAGCCAAAUUACUUGUUAGUGCAAGAAAAACAAGUGUGCUAAUGUGGAUUCACAUAGCAACAUUCUUAAGCUUACUUAUAAAUGUACUAAUUUGGAAUUUGCGGCUGUGACUAUAUAUAUAAUUAAAUGAGAAUGUUGAGUUGGCUUAAGUUGUGUAUUUGUUUCAUAUUCAUGCAUAAUAUUGUUAAAGAAAAUUGAAUAUAUUAUCCUUUUUUAUUAAGAAGACUUAUUUUAGGGUGGGGUGAAGAAUAGUUUCUUUGAACAUAGUAACCAAAUUCACCUGGUAGGGUUUUGUGAGCAUUUUGUUCAAGCAUAUAGAAGAAAUUUUAUUGUACGUACUCCAUGUGCUUUUAGUUUGCAAAUUAAGCAAGAGAAGGAAAUAUGUAUGCGAUUUUGACAAAAAAUGUGUCAACAUAAGUUCAUUUUUUUAAGGGUAAAAUAUAUUCAUGAUAGGUUACGUUUCUAGAUAUGAAAAUGGUUUUGGUGUUUAAAUCAAGAAGAAUAGCACCUUUGACACUUUGCUUAUAACCCAAGAAAAUGCAUUUCUUAGCUCUAGAAUCUUAUUUUUUUUUCCUAUGAACCUGUAAAGUGGAUGCAUAGGAGAGUGAACCAAAUACUAUUAAUUCAUUCUAGUCAAGAUCAUGACCAAACCUAUGAAAGAAAAGGAGACUUAUUUUGCGACAAAGACUAUGAAUACGAUUUAUGUGGUAUGUGGCAAGUAAAACAACAUAGGACUAAAAUUGUUUAGGUAAUUUUGAUUGAAAAAGUAAAGCUCUCCCCACAUUUAAAAUGUAUUGAUGCUUUCUUUCUACUCUCCCAUUUUGUUGGGAGUCUUAUCACAACUUGUUUGAUGUUCUAUCCCUUUAGCAAGAAUAAAAUUCAAGCAUAGAAAACUCAGUACCAUUGUCAGUUCUUGCAGUUUUAACUUGCCAAUAAUAUUGAUUUUCUAUCAUAAGAAUGUAUUUUUGUACGAAAUUGGUGAUUCAUAUUUUGAUUUACAUAGAAUGAUCCAAGUAAAACAGCUAUAAUCAUUAAUACCAGUAACAACGUACUUAUGGUCAUGAACAUAUUGAGUAGAAAGGGGACCCUAAAUAUCAAAAUGAAAAAAUUCAUAUCAUUGACUUGCUUUAUUAUUACUAAGCUGAAAAGGAAGUUUUCUGUGCUUUGCAUAAUGACAAAUAUCAGACUGAGGAAAUUUAUCAGGCUUGAGGUGAAGCUUGUGUAGCAAGAAUAUACAAUCCCUUAAUCAAAAUUAGCCGAAAUUAUCUUCAAGCUCCUUCAUCUUGAAUCAAACAUUUAUCAUUGUGAAAGGUUAUUAUGCAAUCAAUAUCAACACAUAGUUUUGGUACCAAUAGCAAAUUCAGGAAAAAAAUAACACAUUUUGUGCAAUGAAUCCUAGUGAAAACUGCACUGUGCCUCAAUAUCUUGCUAUUGCCAUAUGACCAUUUGGUUACUUGAUAUCUAUUGGUGCAAUUUUCUCAUAAGUAUCAAAAGAUGUUAAAGAAGAACAUACAUGAUCACUUGCAUCAGAGUCUACUAUCCAAGAGCCAAUAUUUGAGUAAUUCGUUACAUGUGAUGCCAAAUUCACCUUGCUAGAAGAUGCAUUAGUAUUAGCAUUAAUUAGAACAAGAUGAGUGGAGUAAAUUUAUCGGCUGAUCAUGUUGUUCUUUGGUGAAACCAUAUGAAUCAUUGCCUUUGUAAAUCUUUGAAUCAUCAAUGUCCUCCCUUUCUUCAUUUAAUUCAAGCGAAGAGUUUUCUUUCCACUCAAUAGAAGAUCGCUUUGAUAAUCACAAGAUUGUUAGAAUUUCCGAUCACCAGUUGAUUGAUUUAUAAUGUAGUUUUUUUUAGAGCAAAUAAAAGAUGAUUUUAUUAAGUUCAAGAAGGAGUACACCUUCCGAACGACACUUUACUACUAUUGAAGAAGUGAACGACACUUAAGUGCUGUCACCAACGACUCUUGCAAAAAAGAGAAAUUAGGAAGCGUGAAUAUCAACUUUCUACCUUUUGUUGUUUGUUAUUCCUUACUUUAUUUUCCAAAUAAAAAAAAGUACAUAUGGUACUAAAUUCUAACCAAGAAAAAAAAAUACAAAAAUCACUCUACCCACAACCCAAAAAAAUAUAUAAAUUGUUCCAAACUCCACCCAAAAGCAAAAUGCAAAAAUUACUUCACUAAACAAUCAAGAUGUAAUGAAAACCAUUCAUAGACAAGGCACCCCCAUUUUGUUACCCAAAAGCCACUUUCAAGACUUAGCAUUAAUGAAAUCAACCACCUCCUCCACUAUUGGAACCUUAGAACAGAAAACGUAGUCAUUCCUUGUCUUUCAAAUUGCCCAAAGUACCGAAUGACAAAUCAACAACAAGCCUUUUCUCCGUUUCUAUUUCCUUGCAAAAGCAGAGAAACUCUCAACAAAGUGAAAAGGUCUCCCAGAAUUACCCACACCACACCAAACCUUUACUACAAAUAGCUCUCGAAAACCUUGCAAACCAAUGGUCUUCGGAUUCCGACUCCCCCUUGCACCACAAGCAUGUGGGCUGUUGACCCCCACCCAAGAAUAUUACACAAGUGAUUAUAAAUAGAAUUAACCGAAAAGGUACCUUGAGAGGUUGCUAGACAUAUCCAACCAUCCUAUUGUUGGGUCAAUUGCACUUCUUAAAUCAAGGGCGCCUCCAUUUCCCAAACAACCAAUGCCAACGACCUUUAACCCACUCCCCCAUCUCGGAAACUAAACACCCUUGUUGCUCUGAUAUUGCAAAUAGCCUCGGAAACGCUCUUGCAAGGGUUGUAGCUCCACAACAAACGGAAUGCCAAAAUUGGGUUAUGGCGUAGUGCCUUAUCAAUAUCUAUAAUCAUCUUCAUUUCAUUCAAUGCUUUUUUAGCAUUUUCUUCCAUCGCUUUUUAGUAACAUAAGUCUUUCAAUGACUUAACUGCUUCUCUCUUAGAUAGUCAUUUUUUAGUUUUAAAAUGUGACACUAAUGGAAAAAAUAAAUUUGAUGAAGGGUUUUCACAUCAGUAGAGCAAAUACCCAAUAAAUCCACAAAAAAUAUUAGUCUGCCUGUCUCCUGAAUCUAGUACUAAGAAACGUGGUGGAUUUGUACAGUAUAGUUAUAAUUAGGUUGGUGCAAUUCAUGUUCCCUUGCUGCAGGCUUCAAUUCAUUUACCUCUUAAAUCACUGAAAGUCUACUAGCCGCGGAACCCCAACUGCUCAUUCCAUCGGUAUCACAAAAGCUAGAGAAAUUGCUUCCUUCUGAAAAUAGAAAGAGCAAAGAUCAACGCAUUAUACUAUAACUAUGUUUUCUUCUAGGAAACAUGAAUAUAACUUUCAAAAACAUUUUACCUUAAGACUAUUGAAUAACUGACAAUUCUGAACUUCUAGUAAAUAGAUGAAGAAUUUAUUGCAUCAUUUUUACCUACUUGAACUACAAGUUAAUGUGAUAGAGAUGAAGAAGCAAUCAGAAGGAUUUGCAGAUUACGUUUCAAUAUUUUCCUGUGUUUUAAUUUUUGCAAACAACAGGAUGAUAAAUGACAUCAAUGUAACAGUACUGAAAAUGCCACCAAAUCUUAAAGCAUUUCCCUGUUCCUCUACAAGCUGGGAUGGCUGGAUUUUGUUCAUGAACAGAAGUAAAGCAGUUGCAGACAUAUAAAGAAUUGUGGAAGAAACUUUAUUUAUGAAUAGAAAGCCAACAAAUUUAUAAUUUAAUGCUGAUACACCAUUGAUAAUAGCCCAUAGACACUUCUCUAACUUCAAACAAUUUUUUUUCUUCUUCUUCUUUUUCUUAUUGUCAUAGAGGAAGAAUUUCUACAAGAAACACGGUGAAGAUUCAGCUAUCCAAAUUCUCCAUUCCAAGCCUUCUAGAAAGGUGUGGCUUGUGAUAAUAAUUAAGGGUGUAAACCAGCACUCUUAAAGGUUUGUGCUUAGAUGAAUGUGUAUAUUUAAUUUCUAAAAGAAUAUAUUGUCAAUAAAGGUAAUUUUUUUUGGUCUAACUUGGGGAUGCCAACUACCCAAUACUCAAAUCAACUCACUGAGAAUACAACACCAAGUGGGGAGCAAGGUUUGGCAGCCUAAUAUCAGUGACCAAUCGAUUGAUUGAGAUUCAAUCAUUAUACAUAGAUUCUUGUCUUGGCAAAGUAACAUUCUAAAUACUACUUCAAAAUCAUGUAUUCCAUUUAUAUGUAUGUAUAAAAGAGAAUAUAUUUUAAGAAUUAAAUAAAAGAAAAAACAAUUAUUUUGUUGACUAAAACAACGACAUUCACUCAUUCAAAUUGAUAGACUGCGUCGAUUGAAAACAAAUUAAAAAUUGUUAAAACCAUAAGAGAUGAAUUUGCGAACAACUCACAACAUCCAGGUUAACGUCAAAAUACCUACAAAUUUGACAAAGCCUAAUAUGAUGGUAUUAAAGUGUCUCAAAUAUCCCGCCUCAGUAUUUGUUACAUUGAAGACGCCAAUUUCAUUGAUUUAAUGGGCAUCUGAUCAAAGUUAAUAUGUCAAUUUCAACCGAAAGAACACCACAAAAAAUAAAAUAAAAAAAUAACACCUCACGAAGGUGACUAACAAAACAAACCUAAUUCCACCCAAAGUCUCAAUCAUAAUAGUGUUUUCCAAGGUGAAUCAAUCCCAACCCUAGUGUCUCCCGUUUAGAGAAAUCUCUAUAAACCCUAGUUUGUUGUUUGUUUCUAAACCCUUGUUUUCAGCCCCCUCUGUCUCUCAAGGUUUACUAUGGUACAAGGUCUAUAUUUAUAGUCAAAGUAUCCCUCAUAAAAUUGGAACAAAUCUAGCCCAUAAAAAUAUGUUAUACUUUUAUGCUGUUUUGCAGAAUUGGCCGCCGAUUUUCACCAAUCGGGCGUCGAAAAUUGUCGAAUGCAAAGGUUGGAAACCAGUCAAAAUCAGCCACCGAUUUUUCUAAAUCGGGCCCUGAUUUUGCACUUCGAGAAAUCCAAUUUGAGUAAUUUAUCUACAACAAUCUCCACCUUGACUCUAAAUUAGUGAUAAUUUCAAUUUAACCAUCAACCACCAUUGUUGCUCUUUCCCUUGCUUCCCACUACACCAUGUAGCUCCACAAGUUUUCACCCUACCUCUUCAACCAUCGGAAUGCUUCCGCCUUCUCUAAGACCAUCCUUGCAUCCAACUAUACUAGGAAUUUUAGGUAGUUCGACAAGUCUACACCAUAAACCUCUUCAGCCUUCAGAGUGAUCAAAUCCGUCCUUCUGAAGAUCCACUUGCUUCCAAGUACCCUUGGUCUUUUCUCGUAAUCCCACAAGCCAUGCUAUACAUUCCUCAAACACUAGAAUGCCUUCUGUCUUCAUGAAGAAUUCCCUUGGUCACCACUAGAGCAUAGCACCCAAGGUCUCCAUAGUCGUACCUCCACCUCAAGCUGAACUUUCUCUACCUCAACUUCCAAAUGCGUACAUCCCACCAUGUCUUUCACCUUGAAACUCCACCUAAAAGGCUGAUCACAAGUAUUCUUACCUCCGCCUCUUCAGACUAACCACGAGUAUUCUUACAACUGCCUCUCUGGGCUGAUGUUGAGUGUUUAACGUCUCUCUAGAAAACUACCACUUUACAAGGAAUCAUUCACAAGGUGAGAAACAUCACCUUCUUCAUCCUCCCAGCAACAGACCACCAAAGAACCCACAAAACAUCAAGGAUUUUGUUGAACUCCGUAAGUUGCUCCAUGAUGGAUUUUGUUGCUUCAUCUUGAAUGAGUAGAGUUGUUGCUUUAGGAAUUACCAAUGAGCCAAAGACUUUGUCAUAUGCAAAGACUCCAACUUUGACCACAUCGAUGCCGCAGUUUGUACCUUCGCUACAUCUAUCAAAACUUUAUCCCCGAGGCACAAGACAAUGGCACUCCUGGCCUUGUCCACCAUCCCCGUCUUCUCCGCUUUUGACAUGGUGACCGGUAAAGCUUCACCCUUCAAAGCUUUCUCACACUUUUGUUAUAUUAACACCGCUUUCAUAUUUACCUUCCAUAACCUAAAAUCAUUAUCUCCAAUAAAUUUCUCAAUAUCCAACUUCGAACCUAUGGUACUUGAUUAUCGUUUGAUCCUUGCCACACGGUGGGCGCCAAUUAUUGUGAAUUCGUUAAAAAAAUCACACCAAUAAAAACUUGAUAUGUGGAGAAAAUUAAUCAAGCAACCAAAACAAGUGGGUGACAGUUAUAAACACAAGCAAAAGUAGAAAACCACGAGAUAAAAGAAUGAGAGAACACACAAAGUUUGUUCACCUAGUUUGGUCCAAUACUGACCUAGUCUAGGGGAGAGAGCAGCCCUCCGUUCCACUAUAAUGAUGAGUAAGUUUACAAAGAGAUAUCAAAGGGUUACAAGAACUAGCCUUCAAACCUAAUUCUACCCAAAGUCCCAAUCUCUUCCCGUGACCAAAAGACCUAAUCCUAAUAGUGUUUUCCAAGGUGAAUCAAUCCCAACCCUAGUGUCUCCCGCCUAGAGAAAUCUCUCUAAACCCUAGUUUGUUAUAUUUAUAGUAAAAGUAUCCCUCAUAAAAUUGGAACAAAUCUAGCCCAUAAAAAUACAUUAUAUUUUUAUGUUGUUUCGCAUAAUCGGGCGCCGAAAAUUGUCGAAUGCAAAGGCUGGCAAACUAGUCAAAAUCGGCCACCGAUUUGUCCAAAUUGAACCCCGAUUUUGCACUUCCAAAAAUCCAAUUUUGAAUCAGUUCUACAACAAGGUGGAUGAAGAAGAUCAAUAUAGAAAAAAGUUUGGAGCGGGUUCUAGGUUUACACCCUUGUAGAAAGAAUAAAAAAGCUAACGAGUAUUUCAGGACACACUUUUUGGGUCUUAAAUGGUAAACUUUUAUGAAAAUUUGUGUAUUCCAUGUAAUAGAAAUUGAAGUUUCUUUUAGUGAAUAAUUUUUUAAUUUAUAAUCAUUUAAAAUUGUGCCGAAAUAGUCGUUAGCAAGAAAACAAAUAUAUCAGGUAAGAACGCAUUGAUAGUUUAUGAAAUUCUGUGUGCAAUAACCUUCAAAGAAACUAAAGAACAAGACAACUUACUUUAAAUUUUUUUCUUUUGACUACAUUGAAUUAUUAUAUUUAUUCAUUAUUGACCGUAUUAAUUUUUUUUGGUCAAGGACGAUAUUAAUUAUUUUAUUAAAAUAAUAAAUAACAAGCAUAUAAGUAGGUGCAGUAUUACGCUCUCCAUAAACCUAAUCAUCUCUCUCUCUCUCUCUCUCUCUCUCUCUCUCUCUAUCUCCCUCCCUCUCCCUCUCUCCGCCGCAUCCUCAACUUAUAUCUCUCUUCUCGUGCCCGCAGCACCCUCAAUUUUCAUUUUCAAAUAAAUGGUUUUCAACUUAUCCUCCAAUUUUGAAUGCCAUAUGUAUGAAAACGGAAUUGAUUUGCUUGGUUUACGGUUGAACAAGCAAUGAAUAUUGCCAAUUUCAUUUUGAAAGAAUAUUACAACAUGCGUCUUCAUUGUGGAUUUGUCUUGCGGAAUGAUUGUUUAACCCAUUUUUUUUUGUUUUUCUGCAUACAAGUAUCUCUAUAAAUUUCUGAGCUAUUAGCUCACAAUACUCUCAGUUGUUAUUGAAAAUCUAAAGUUUGAGAUUUUACAAUUGAUUGGAAAUCUCAGAUGGUGUUUUGCGGGAGCAUGGUGGUAUGAAAUCGAAGUCUUCUUACUCGAUCGCGAGAUGUAUAUCAGGAUAUUUGUCGAGCAACUCGAGUGUAGUGAGAAACUCUUGACGGAAAUAUCUGAUGAUAUUUAAACUAGAGAACAACAGGUUCUUGCGGAGCAUAGAGGAAUAUUGGCUCAAUGAAAUGGUUCUACGGAUGGAUCUGAACAAGUAUUGAGAUAACACCUUGAACACUUGGCCAUGUGAAAACAACAACGGGAAAGCGAGUUUACCGAUACCUAUCUCAAGACUUGUUCAGAUCCUUCCGCAGAACCAUUCCAUUGAGCCAGUAUUCCUCUUUGCUCCGCAAGAACUUGUUGUUCUCUAGUUUGAAUAUCAUCGGUUAUUUCCGUUUUCUCGACAAAUAUCCUGCUAUACUUCUCGUGAUCGAGUAAGAAGGGUUCGAGUUCAUACCACUAUGCUCCCUAAAAUCACCAUUUGAGAUUUCCAAUCAAUUGUAAAAUCUCAAACGCUAGAUUUUCAAUAACAUCCGAGAAUGGAGUAUUGUGAGCUAAUAAUUGCAACAAUUUAUAAAGAUACCAAUAUGCAAAAAAUCGAAGAAACGGGUUAAGUAAUCAUUUUGUAGACAAAUCCACAACGAAGACGCUUGUCGUGAUAGUCUAUCGAAAUGAAAUUGGCAAUGUUCAUUGUCUGUUCAACCGUAAAUCCAAGCAAAUCAAUUAUGUUCUCAUGUAUUUGGCGUUCAAGAUUGGAGGAGAAGUUGAAAGCCAUUGAUUUGAAAAUGAAAUCCAAGGGUGUUGUGGCUGGCAGGGAAAGAGAGAUAUAUGUUGAGGAUGCAGCAGGCAGAGAGAGAUAUGUUGAGGAACAAUAUUUAAGUCCCUUUAAUGUCAUCAUAUUAGGCUUUGCCACAUUUCUAGGUAUUUUGAUGUCGUGUGAUAUUAAGCUGGAUGUUGUGAAAAACCUUGCUCCCCUACUAUUAGGGUGCUAAACCUUGCUCCCCACUUGGUGCUAUUUAUAAUUGAACUAAUUACUUACACCGCUAACUAUCAUUAUUCUUAAUAGCUCCUCUCAAACUCAAUGUAUGAUUGUACAACGAUAAUGUUUAUAUGAAUAUGAAUAAUAUUUUUUAUGAGUAUAUGACUAUGAAAAAUAAUAUCUCUCAAAGUGUACAAAAGAAUAUGAGCAUGCUCUUACAAUAAUUACAAUGAACUUAAUUACAAAGAAUUAAGUACAAUAACGGAGGUAGUAAAGAAAUAGCUAUAGCACAACAUAAAUGAUCAAAGACCAGAUGUAAAUGGCACGGUAGUUGUAGCCAACCAUGUUGGUCCAGCAAGGAGUCCAGCAACCGUAAACUUUGAUGCUUCCUUUCGGUUUGUUAUCACAUGAUAACCAGGCCAUUUUACUCUAUUUGUUGUUGAUGAACCAGGUCCAUAGUUUUCAUACUCUCCAUAAUACAAUGUAUCUUGAGCAAAAUCUGUGUCACCCCAUGGAGACCAACCUAGGGGGCUCACUAAAGUGUCCAUAAAAGUUUUCAUCACCAUAACUCUUGAGAAUUGUUGCCAAGGCCUUCCCAAGAAGGUUUUGUACUUGUCAACAACAGGCUUUAGAUCUGAUGCAGCCCUAAUUUGACAAUUGUGGAAUGAAAUUCCAGUGUUUUGGAAUGGGUCACCACGACCUUGGGCUGUGAUCAUGUUAGCUUGGCCAUCCAAAGGCUUUCUUGCGAAAAUGUUACAGUUUUGGAAUACUACUGCAGCGUUGCCAAAGAUGAAGUCUACGGUGCCAUAGAUGAAGCAUUGUCGGUAGAAUUGACGUUGUGCAUGAGCCAUCAGAGUGUCUUGAUAGCCCGAUAUAGCACACCGAUAGAAGACAGAGAGAUCGGAGGCUGAUCGGAGCGCCACAGCUUGGCCUUUGUGAGGACCAGCAGUAUUUUGAAAGGUAAUGUCACGUGCAAUGAAAUGAAGUCCAUCAAUGCCUGAAUUUAAAAGAUUCAAGAGAAAUAUGUAAAAAUUAGAAACUAUAAAUAACAUUCUAAACUCUAAAGUGUUCGUGUUAGACAAGUUGCAAGAAAGCCAUUAGAGAAUUAUGAAUAUCAUAUAUAGCUAUGAUAUAAAGAGCACAUUUCCAUGACAUCUAAUUUUCAACACUGAUUUACUAUUGAAUUUUAGGGCUUUAAAACUAGAAAAAACUAAAUAGGGCUUUUCAACACUGAUUUACACAAAGAUACAUGUAGAUUGAUUUUAUUUUUCCAGUCUCUAUCUUUCGUUGUUAGUUCGACUUUUUCAAGCAGUGAAUAUUGUUUUUCUCUUAUAACAAGAACAUAAAACAGGAAAUGAAAUAUAAUUCACCUGCUGUUGCAGAGCUAUAAGUGGUAAAACCACCUUGAACACUUCUAGAACUUGUUAUUAUGGUAUUUUGCAUCCCAUCACCAACCAGCAUAAUAUUGUCAUUAUGAACAGCAACCUCAAUGUUCUCUCUAUAAACACCUUUCUUAACAUGUAUCACAAACCUUGUCUUAUAUUUUCUCUUAGCAGCAGCAUUUAAAGCAGCUUGCACAGUCUUGUACUGACCAGAACCAUCUUUUGCCACCACAAGAUUGUACUUUACUGGACCCUUUGACUGCAAAAGCUUCCUUUCAUGCACAGAAAACCAAUUUGGAAAUGACCCUUCUUCUGUUUCUGCAAGUGACGGAUCCAGAAAUUUUGAUUAGUAUGACUAUAUAUAAAAGUACAUAAGCCAUAGUGUUAUGACAUCAAUAUUAUCAUAUGAAUUAAAUUUAAAUCUGGAGAUUACAAAAUUUUAACAUUUUUUUUAAGAAAAAAUUAAAACAUUAUAUACCUAAAAUAUUGAAGAUACUUGAACAUCUACAAAUUAUAAUUGCUCUGUGUCUUCUUAUUUUAAAAUUCAUUUUUAUAUACCCAUUUUUAACCCUAUCAUAUUUAUAUUACUCUAUGUAUGUCACAAAAUAAACAUUCAAUAAUUUAUCUUUCAUUUAAUUCUUCCUAAAUAAAGUUAUUGAAUAAUUUUUUAGCAGUACAAUACUUAAUUUUAAAUAGAAAAAAAUAAAAUCAUUGUUAAUACCUUUGUUAUGUUUCAGAAAAUGCAUAUUGAUGGCUAAGAUGUUCCUUAUCAUCUCAAUGACAUUGGUUUGCAUAAUGAAAUUGAAAUCUUGAGCAUUGAGUUCUAAAGCUCCACUUUUACAUGUUUCAAUAUUUGUGAGAGAAGUUGUGAGCCAUGUUUGUACAUCAUUCGGUGAACAAUUUUUGCUUGCAUUGUUUAAGCCUUCAAGUGUACGGUUGAGAUGAAAAAUUGUGUUUUCAACUAGCUUCAAACAAUCACCAUGAACCGUUUUAUGCACCGAUGAGUUUUGUUGUUGUUGAGAAUUGUCUUGUGCUUCUUUUUGCAUGGUAAGAGCUUGUUUUAAGGCUAAUUGAACAAGCAUUUCCCUGAAUUCAACUCUAUGUUUGAUUUUGAAAUGAUUGUUCAUUUGUGUUGUGUAGUGUUUGCAUGGCUUAGGAUGUGGUGUUAAAUUGCACCACCAAUCUAUUUUGCUCGAGGAAGGUCCUUUUCUUGAUGAGGCUAUGGAGAAAAUUGAAGAUACGAAAACGAGCAUAAAUAAUGUUUUUCCAAUGAUUGCCAUAAUUCAAUUGUAGAAUAAUUGAAGAGUUUGAAAUAAAGAGUUUAUGUUGCAUAUAACAAAUGUGUGUAUAAAUGAUGCUUUAGUUGACUUGUUUUUGGAUUUGACUUAUGAGAAUUAAUCUAUAUAUAUGUGCAUAUAUAUACAUAAUUUUUGUCGGUAGAGUGUAAAGGUUGAAACGUGUGGAAUGAACUGAAAGUGAUAAUGAAGAAUGACACAGAUACAAACUAUGAAUUCACUUGCAAGUGACAAUUAAUUAAAUAGGAUUAAAAUCUUAUCUAGUAGGAAAAAAUGGUAUUACUUAAUAAUUCAGAAAGUUGGAGCCUAAUUACUUGAUAUUGCAAGAAAAACAAGUGUCCUGAUGUAGCUUCACAUAGAAACAUUCUUAGGCUUACUUUUUAAUGCAUUAAUUGGGGCUAUGACUAUAUAUAAAUAAAUUAAUAUUUUGAUGAGAAUGCAUAGUUUACUUUAGUUUUGUGCUUAGUCCACAUGCAUGCAUAAUGUGGUUUGGUUAUGUCAUACUUUGUACACAGUACACAUUGUGUGGCUGUUUAGCUAAAUGGAGAAGAAGCUUGCAGCUCAAGUUAACUAAUACUGAGUUAACUGAUAACAAGUUCAACACACUCCCUUAAGCUUAGCAUGGUAUAUGUCAGACAUGUUAAGCUUGGACAUAAAAGAAUUUAAAUUCUUAGGUGGCAGGCAGUGGUUUAGUAAGGAAAUCUGCAAGUUGAGAUUGUGACUUGGUAGGAAGCAACUUGAAUAUGCUUUGUUGUAGAUUUUCCCUAACAAAAUGGCAAUCAAUUUUCAAAUGCUUUGUUAUCUCAUGGAAAACUGGGUUAGCUGCAAUGUGAAUUUCACUUUGAUUGUCACAAUAAUGCAUUGGUGGUAAGGUUGAUUUGGCUUGCAGUAUGGUAAGAUAUGUUCAUGAUGGGUUAUAUGUCUAGAAAUGAAAAUGAUUUUGGUGUUUAAAUCAAGAAGUAUAUCAGCUUUGACAGUUUGCUUACAACUCAGGAAAAUGCAUUUCUUAGCUCUAUAAUCUAAUUUUCUUUUUUUACGUACCUGUAAAGUGGAUGUGUUGCGAAUUCCAUAAGAAAACCACACCAAUAACAAACUUGAUGUGUGGAGCAAGGAAUAAUCAAGCAACAAAAACAAAGUGUAUGGAACAAUUAUAAACACAAGUCAAAAGUGAAAAACAACGAGAGAGAAAGGAAGAGAGAACACAAAAGAAUUUGUUGACCUAGUUCGGUCCAAAUCGACCUAGUCUGGGCGAGAGAGCAGCCCUCCGUUUCACUAUAUGAUGAGUAACCUUACAAAAGAGAUAUCAAUGGGUUACAAGAAUAAGUCUCCCGCUUAAUUCUACCCAAAGUCCCAAUCUCUCCCCGUAACCAAGAGACUCAAUCCUAAUAGUGUUUUCCAAGGUGAAUCAACCUUCAAACCCUAGUGUUUGUUCCAAAGAGAUAAACUCUAUACAAACCCUAGUUUUGUUGUUGCCUUUCUAAACCCUUGUUUCAGCCCCCUCUAUCUCAAGGUUUACACUGAUACAAUGUCUAUAUUUAUAGUAAAAGAAUCAUCAAUAAAACUGGAACAAAUCUAGGCUCGAAAAUACGUUUCUGUUUUAUUUUUUGCUGUCAAAGUCUGCCACCGAAUGCUCCAAAUCGGCCACCGAUUUUUGCCGAACCUGAAGCUCAAAUAAAACAGGUCAAAAUCGGCCACUGUGUCCUGAAAAUCGGCCACCGAUUUUCAGCUUCCAGAAUUCCAAUUUCUUCAAUUUUGAGGCACUUUCACAAUAGAAUGCAUAGAAGAGUGAACAAAAUAAUUUUAAUUCAUUCAAGUUAGGAUGAUGACCAAACCUGUGAAAUAAAAUGUGUUGAUGCUCUUUUUCUACUCUUCCAUUUUGCUGGGGAGUCUCAACACAACUGGUCCUUUAGCAGAAUAUAAUUCAAGCAUAGAAAACUCUGGACCAUUGUCAAUUUUUACAUUUUAACUUUACAAUAAUAUUGAUUUUCUAUCAUAAGAACCAAUUUUUUUACAAAAUUGGUGACUUCGUAUUUUAAUUUACAAAGAACGAUCCAAGUAAAACAACUAUAAUCAUCAAUUGAUAAUAGUAACAAACAAUUAACAUCAUACUUAUGGCCAUGAACAUAUUGAGUAGAAAGGGGACCUCAAAAAUAAAAAUGAAACAAUUCAUAGCAUUGACUUGCUUUAAUAUUACAAAGUUGAAAAGGAAGUUUUAUGUGAGUAUGUAAUUCAACUUGUUAUUAAAAUUUGUAUUUAAUAUUGAUUAAUUCAAAUAUGAAUGAAGUCUAAGUAAAGAUAAACUUGUUAGAUUUAAAAAAAUUUAGUUUAGAUAAUUUUGCGACACUUUUUACAACUUCUAAAAAAUUAUAAAUGUAACACUUUUUUAUUGUUACUAGUGAUAUAAAAAGUAUUACAAAUAAUGUAACAUUUGCGACACUUUUUAAUUGUUACAUAUAAUACUAUAAAAUGUAACUAAAACUCUUUUGUAACACGGACUUUACUUAACAAUUGUUCAAGUGUUACUAAAUUUAAUUAGUAAUAUUUUUCUUGAUUUAGUUACAAUUUUCAAGUGUUACUAAAUGUCAUUAUUUUUUUGAAGGAAUACUAAAUGUCAUUAUUGUAGUAGUGUACUAAGUUCUAACCAAGAAAUAAAAUACAAAAAUCACUCUACCCACCACCCAAAAAAAAAAAUUAAAAAAAAAUUGUUCCAAACUCCACCCACACUACUAAAAAAGUAAAAAUUAGUGAGGGAAAUUUAGAGAGGGAAAACGUGAAAUCCCUCUCUAAUUUCGUCACUAAAUUUUACGACUAAGGAAUUUAUGAGGAAUUUUAUUUUUUCCAUCAUUAAUUUCCCUCCCUAAUUUUACUUUUUCUAGUAAUGCCAAAAGCAAAGCAAAAGCAAAAAUUACUUCACCAAAACAAUCAAGAUCAGGUCAUGAAAACCAUUCAUUGACAAGGCACCCCCAUUUUGUUACCCAAAAGCCACUUUCAAGACUUAACAUUAAUGAAAUCAACAACCUCCUCCACUUUCAAUUGAUAAAUCUAGGUACGACUGCAAAAACUAGUGUUAUAGUAGCGAGUUACAACCUCAAAUUAAUUCAAAAUGGGUUAGUCCUUGAAAAGCAUUAAGAACAAAGAUAAAACAAAUAAAUAUAAUAUGAAUUGCGCUAAGAAAAGGACUCAUAGGUCAUGUGGUUCCAACCAUUACAAAAAUGUUCAUCAUUCAAUCCUAAUUUAUGAAAGUUUAGUUACACAUGAUAACUUGAUAACUGUCAUAAACAACAUAAUUCAAAGGACGGAAGCGAAAUACAUAAGUUGCGGUGUUGAUCCUCAAACUUGUUUCCAAACCUUCAAAAACACGCACGAGUCUCGCGCAUGGACAUACUACUGUGGCGUUAGCAACUACUCAUUGGUUUGGUGUCCACCUCAAGUGUUUCCUUCUGCGCCUCGCGCAUGCUGUCGAGAGAUCAAGGAGAUGAGCAACUGCCACAGGCGAUGCAUGGCCUCAUGCACCUCGCGCAUAGGACUUAAUUUUAUAUAUAUUUUUAAAAUGACAAGAUGCUUAUUUGUUACUUAGUUUCUGACAUAUUGACUUUUUAAACAUAGAUCCGCUGGAUCAUCAAAGUUGAACUUGUAAAGUAGUACAAAAUUAAAGAAUAUGAAUAAUUAUAUCUCUCUCAAUAUACAAAUUAAAGAAUAUUGACACAUUUUCUUUUAAGAAUUACAAUGAAUUUAAUUACAAAUAACUAUGUAGAAUAAUUGAAUUAAUGAAGAGAUAUAGCUAUACCAAAAUACAAAUGAUCAAAGACCAGAUGUAAAUGGCACAGUAGUUGUAGCCAACCAUGUUGGUCCAGCAAGGAGUCCAGCAACCGUAAACUUUGAUGCUUCCUUUGGGUUUGAUAUCACAUGAUAACCAGGCCAUUUCACCCUAUUUGCUGUUGAUGAACCAGGUCCAUAAUUCUCAUACUCUCCAUAAUACAAUGUGUCUUGAGCAAAAUCAGUGUCACCCCAUGGAGACCAACCUAGGGGGCUCACUAAAGUGUCCAUAAAAGUUUUCAUCACCAUUACUCUUGAAUAUUGUUGCCAAGGUCUGCCCAAGAAGGUUUUGUACUUGUCAACAACAGGUUUUAGAUCUGAUGCAGCCCUAAUUUGACAAUUGUGGAAUGAAAUUCCAGUGUUUUGGAAUGGGUCACCUCGACCUUGGGCAGUGAUCAUGUUUGCUUGGCCAUCUAAAGGCUUUCUUGCGAAAAUGUUACAAUUUUGGAAUACCACUGCGGCGUUGCCAAAGAUGAAGUCUACGGUGCCAUAGAUGAAGCAUUGUCGAUAAAAUUGACGUUGUGCAUGAGCCAUCAGAGUGUCUUGAUAACCUGAUAUGGCACACCGAUAGAAAACUGAGAGAUCGGACGCUGAUCUUAGCGCCACAGCUUGACCCUUGUGUGGACCGGCGGUAUUUUGGAAGGUUAUGUCUCGUGCAAUGAAGUGAAGUCCAUCAAUACCUAAAUUUAAAUGAUCCAAGAGUAAUUAUUUAAAAUAAAAAAUGAAAGUAAUUGUAUGCAUGUAAGAAAGCCUCAAGUAUAAUUUAAAUAUUAUAAACCUAUCUUAUUAUAAAAAUUUAGAACUUCAAAUGAUAAAAUAAAAAGAGAUUAAAGGAGAUGGAAUAUAACUCACCUGCUGUUGCAGAGCUAUAAGUGGUAUAACCACCUUGAACACUUCUAGAACUUGUUAUUAUGGUAUUUUGCAUCCCAUCACCAACCAGCAUAAUAUUGUCAUUAUGAACAGCAACCUCAAUGUUCUCUCUAUAAACACCUUUCUUAACAUGUAUCACAAACCUUGUCUUAUAUUUUCUCUUAGCAGCAGCAUUUAAAGCAGCUUGCACAGUCUUGUACUGUCCAGAACCAUCUUUUGCCACCACAAGAUUGUACUUUACUGGAGACUUAGACUGCAAAAGCUUCCUUUCAUGCACAGAAAACCAAUUUGAAAAUGACCCUUCUUCUGUUUCUGCAAGUGACGAAUCCAAAAUUUUUGAUUAGUAUGACUAUAUAUAUUCAUAUAAAAGUACAUAAGCGAUAGUGCUAUGACUUCAAUAUUAUUAUAUGAAUCAAAUGUAAAUCUGGAGAUUACAAAAUUUUAACAUUUUUUUUAGGAAAAAAUUAAAACAUUAUAUACCUAAAAUAUUGAAUAUACUUGAACAUCUACACAUUAUAAUUGCUCUUUGUGUCUUCUUAUUUUAAAAUUCAUUUUUAUCUUCCCAUUUUCAACCCUAUCAUAUUUAUAUUACUCUAUGUAUGUCACAAAAUAAACACUCAAUAAUUUAUCUUUCAUUUAAUUCUUCCUGAAUAAAGUUAUUGAAUAACCUUUUAGCAGUACAAUACUUAAAUUUUAAGGUUAAAUAUGUUUUUGGUCUCUAUAAAUAUAUCAACUUUUCAUUUUAGUCCCUCUAAAAUUUUCCUUCAAUUUUUAGUCUCUAUAAAAUUUUCAAUCUUCAUUUUUGGUCCCUCGUUUAAAGUAAACUCAUAUGUAGAAUUCAUAUUUUUAGAUAAAAUUUUUCAGAAAAAUGUAUAAUAUUAUAAGGAUCACUCCCAAAAAAAAUUAGAAUUGUUUACCAAAACAUGAAUCUUUAUAUUUUUGGCGGUAAAAAAUUCAUAUCUAAUUCAUGUUUUGUUAAAAAAUUCUAAUUUUUUUUGGAGUGAUUUUUACAAUAUUCCAUACAUUUCUACACAGUUUCAUUAAAAAAUACAAAAAUUUACUUAAAAAUAGGGACCAAAAAUAGUGAUUGAAAAUUUUAUAGGGACUAAAAGUUGAAGGAACAUUUUAGAGGGACUAAAACGAAAAGUUGACAUAUUUAUAGGGACCAAAAACAUAUUUAAUCCUAAAUUUUAAAUAGAAAAAUAUAAAAUCAUUGUUAGUACCUUUGCUAUGUUUCAGGAAAUGCAUAUUGAUGGCUAAGAUGUUCCUUAUCAUUUCAGUGACAUUGGUUUGCAUAAUGAAAUCGAAAUCUUGAGCAUUGAGUUCUAAAGCUCCACUUUUACAUGUUUCAAUAUUUGUGAGAGAAGUUGUUAGCCAUGUUUGUGCAUCAUUUGGUGAACAAUUUUUGCUAGCAUUGUUUAAGCCUUCAAGUGUACGGUUGAGAUGAAAAAUUGUGUUUUCAAAUAGCUUCAAACAAUCACCAUGAACCGUUUUAUGCACCAAUGAGUUUUGUUGUUGUUGAGAAUUUGCUUGUGCUUCUUUUUGCAUGGUAAGAGCUUGUUUUAAGGCUAAUUGAACAAGCAUUUCCCUGAAUUCAACUCUAUGUUUGAUUUUGAAAUGAUUGUUCAUUUGUGUUGUGUAGUGUUUGCAUGGCUUUGGAUGUGGUGUUAAAUUGCACCACCAAUCUAUGUUGCUUGAGGAAGGUCCUUUUCUUGAUGAGGCUGUUGAGAAAAUUGAUGAUAAGAAAAAGAGCAUAAACAAUGUUUUUCCAAUGAUUGCCAUAAUUCAAUUGUAGAAUAAUUGAAGAGUUUAAAAAAUAAUAAGAGUUUAUGUUGCAUAUAACAAAUGUGUGAUAUAUGAUGUUUUUGUUCACUUGUUUUUGGUUUUGACUUAUGAGAAUUAAACCCUAAACUCUCUAUAUAUAUACAUAAAUUUUUGUAGGCGGAGUGUGAAGGUGUAAACGUGUGGAAUGAAUUGCAAGUGAUAAUGAAAAAUGACACAGAUACAGACGGUGGAUGCAAUUGCAAGAAAGAAUUAAUUGAAUAUAGGAAUAAAAUCUUCUCUAUUAGAAAAAAUGGUAUUACUUAACAAUUCAGAAAGUUGAAGCCUAAUUACUUGUCAUUGCAAGAAAAACAAGUGUCCUAAUGUGGAUUCACAUAGCAACAUUCUUAAGCUUGCUUAUAAAUGCACUAAUUUGGAUUUUGCGGCUGUGACUAUAUACAUAAUUAAAUUAAUAUGUUGAUGAGAAUGUUGAGUUGGCUAAGUUGUGUGUUUAUUUCAUAUGCAUGCAUAAUGUUGUUAAAGAAAAUUGAAUAUAUUAUCCUUUUUGUUUAGGGUGGGGUGAAGGAUAGUUUCUUUGAACAUUGUAACCAAAUUCACCUGGUAGGGUUUUGUGAGCGUUUUGUUCAAGCAUAUAGGUGAAAUUUUAAUGUCCGUACUCCAUGUGCUUUUAGUUUGCAAAUUAAGCAAAACAAGGAAAUAUGUAGGCGAUUUUGACAAUUUAAGCAAUUGAAUAUAUAUAUAUAUAUAUAUAUAUAUAUAUAUAUAUAUAUAUAUAUAUAUAUAUUUUUAAAUAAUUUUUUUUUUUAAGGGGUCAACACACGCUCAUGUAUAUAACUAAAGAGCUUUGCUAUUUAUCUAGAGAAUUUUUAUCAAAAAUUAUCAAGAAAAUGUCUCAACUAAUUAAAUUUGUUAUUUUGCGGAAAUCAAAGGAGGUAAUGGUGUGUAAUUAAAGAAACGUGUUAACAAAUACACUGUCUUGGAAUUUUUUUGAUAAAUUUUGUCACUGUAUCUAUCAUUUCCCAUAAAUUAAUUAAUUGGUUACAUCUUUAUAUUAUUAUCAUUUGUUAAUCUAGUUGUUUCCAGGGGAUAAAGUCUCCAUUAAUCCGAAGUUUAAGUUAGAGAUAAAUAAAGUCUAACAAUAAAUUAUUUUACAUAUGAGUAUUGAUUUUUUUUACUUUUUAGUUUUUCUAUAUUCUAACUGAUUUUUAUAGCUCUAAUAAUAACUAAUGAUGAUCGUUUCUCAUGGUUAACCGGAAGGAAGAACUGAAAUUUAAACUUUAAACCCAAAAUAGUUUUCUGAAAAGAAAAAGAACAAAAGUAGAUUUUCAUUCUUAUCUAAUGCUAUAGUCAUUUUCUUGCAUGCAUGCUUUCUUAAUUGUUUUUAACUUAUUUUUCCUUUUCUAAAAAAAUUCAACUUAUAAAAUAUUUAGUAUUCACCACUGUUUACACAAAGCAGCUUAUGAACUCCUAAAAUACAUAAAUCUUUCCUCACGAGUAAUUAAUUAAAGAAACACGGAUAGGUAUCUUGCUGUACUGAUUUGCUGCUUGAUUACGUUUGAGGCAGAAAAGUCUAAACAGUUAUUGCUUUUAGGCGUAAAUCUUCAAUGUGUUCCUCUAAAAAGUUUGAUAGUACUUUUUUUUUAAGAAAAAAAGUUUGAUAGUAUAUCGGCAUAUUAAACGUAAGAGAAGAAAAAGAUGGACAUCUCAUCCAUCCAACAGAGCCAACCCGAGGGUAGGAUUACUAAAACUCUCGUUUUAGAUCUACCAUAAAAAAAUAUUUUUCAUCAAUUUUAUAAGUAAAAGAGUCUCAUAUGCAGACAAAAAAAGGCUUUAUUUAUCAAUAUUUAUUUUAGGUCUCAUUUAUUUUUAAAGAUUAUUGGGCGACCCUGCCACCCAACCUACACCUCUUCUCUCUCAUGAUUUCCCUUAUCUUUCUCCCUUUGCUUUGUGUAUUGGAGGGUGGGAAUGUGGGACUCAUCGGAAUUGUAGAAUUGGUAGAUGAGGUGUUUAAAUAUCACCAUCCUAACGGUAAUCCCACAUUAAUAUUAAAGAUAUAUAAAAUGGUGUUGGUAUGUCAAGUGUAAGUAAGAAUUUCAUGAAGAAAUAGAUGUUGAAGUUAAUGUAAAUGAAAUGAUUCAUAUACCUAAUGUCUUAAGGUAGUGUCCCAUUUGAUUUGUGAUGAUCCCCAUAUCUCUCAUCAAGACCCAACAGUGGUAUCAAAGUCAUAUUUGAUUAAAAUUAAUGGUGGCUGACUCCUAUCGACAAUAGGUUUUCUUGAUAAUGAUGGGAAGGUCACAUGUCAUGUUGAUGUUGAGUCCUAAUGACUAUGCAAGUUUCUGGAGAUGAAAGCUUUUGUUGUGUCACUGAGGGGAGCUAGGGGGACCGUCCACAUCGAGGCUAGAACAACCAUAUAGUGAGAGAGAUACCGCACUCUUACCCAAAACCUUAAGCCAAUGGGUUUAUGGGUCCUCUUACUUAUAAUGUGUUUAACCUUUUAUUUUUCUAUCCGAUGUGGGACAUAUAACUCACACUUGCACACAGCAACAACUUUCAGUCGAGGGGGAGCAAUUGCAAGUGAACAGAUUGACUCACACUAAGGGUUAGGUUUUUGGCAAGUCAAGUAGUGUGAAUAAGAAUCCUAUAUUGGAUGUAAAAGCAUACCUUGAUUAUUAUAUAAAUGAGAUGAUUUAUAUAGCUACCUUAAGAUUUUAGAGGAAGAUGUGAUUACUAAUUUUAUUUGUGUGGUUGCUCUAAACUCAUGUGAUGAUUUCUCAACAUCAAAGUGUUACCUCCAUAAACAAAUUUUGGUAAAUUUUGUUAACGUAAAACUUAUUUUAUUUUAUUUUUUUGAGGAAGAAUUUUUUUUUUCUUAUAUGCUAAUUCACAUUGUUUUGACAGUUUGGGUUGAAUUGAUUUCAAAUAGAUAAUUAUUAUUAAAAUGGGUAUUAUAUAUGUAUAUAAAUAUAGAGGGGCUUGCUAAAAUUAACACACUCCUUUUUAUAAAAGCCUAUCUUAGCAAUAUACACCUUUUGACUUGAAAAAAAAAAAAUCAAAAUUUUUCUUUUUGAUAAAGUUCAAACAAAGGGGUAGUAAUGUUGUUUGGAAUAUAAAAUAAAUUCCCCAAAUUUGAUCUCUCAUUCCAAUAUGUGUGUUGGAAUGUUUGGGAAUGAAUUUUCUGAAUUGAAAUCCUCUUAGUUUUUCUUAAAUGUUGUAUCACAACCAUCAAAUUAAGUCUACAAUUUUUUUAUAAUUUUGUUUCUCUUUCUCUUAAGAAAAAUUGAGAGGAUUUUAAUUAAGAUCCAUUUCCUCAAGGUUCUUUUGUACUUUUAGGGUUCGUUUGUAAUUUUAGAAAGAAGAGCACGAGAGAGUUUUUGAGGUUAAAAUAUAGGCGAAAAUAGAAAAAUCAUUCAUAUUUUUUUGAAAAGAGUAUUUUAUUUUUUUUAUACAAGAAUAUGUUUUUAGAUAAUGAUAAAUUCAUGUUUAUGGUAUUUUUUUUUUCAUAUUUAAGAAAUUUGUAAUAAAUAGAUUGAAUUUGAAGAAUCUGUAUAAACAUUCUUAAACCCUAUUAACCCCAAAUUCAAUACAAUUUUUUCAGUUUCACUCAAUUAAUAAGAUUUUGUAUUAUGAAGAAAAAUGAACUACGUGAAGCCCCCUCUCGAUGUAUAUUUCUUCAACUUGUUUUUUUUUUCUUUUCUUUCCAAAGCCCUCCAUUCCCUUAUCUUUCCCUCCAAACUCGCAAACUAAGUUUUAUUUACCAUGGUUUAUCUCGAUCACUCUUGUUUUUCCAACAAUGAAAUUGAUUUUUUUUUCUUCAGAUUUAAUCUUUUUUCUGAUCAUCCAAAAGCGUUAUAAUGGAAAUCGGGAAGCCAAAGCUUAAUUUUUCAACAAUGUAUGUUAAUUAACAAAUUUCAUCAAACUAGUCAAAAAACAAAUUCUAUGAAGAAAAAAAAAAUCAUCAAAUAGUUGUUGAGUUCUUGUCAUGAUUUACCACCAUCAUGCUUUGUAUCGUCGUUGCACCGUCUUCGAUCUCGCCGCCAUGCUGUGUCAUUAUUUUCUCCUUUUAAAAUUGGUUUUCUUAAACUUAGUCAUGUCAACAUUAAAUGGAAAAGAAGAAAAGAAGAACGUACGUUAAUACUGGUUUUUUUUUUAUGUUGGGAUGAAACAAGUUGCUACAGCAGCGAACGGUGGAACAAAGUUGUUGCGAUGAAACUGUUCAUGUGUUUCUUUUACACAUUUUGAAGCUUUAAAUCAAAGCCGUUGAAAUUUUUAAAUCCACAUGGUGUGGCACACAUCUAGGAAAGCAACCGAAUAACUGGACAAAUUGAAAACUGGAACAGAUCAGGAUUGCUGAAAUUUACAAUAGGAAAAUAGAGUUCAGAUCUGCUCCAGUUCCAACUUACUCCAGUUUUCCUGUUCUUUUGACGGAUGAGCGACACGUGGCAAAACAAUUAAUCAAAGGUGCAGAGAACAUGUUCUCAUUAACACCAAAGUAGUUCGUAUCAGCAACUUUUGACGGGUUACAUUCUAUCGUCGCUGUGUAUUUGUUCCUUCUCCUCUUCUUUCUCCAAGGACAAGGUUAUUUUUUCAAUUCAACUAAUUUUUGUUUUACAAUUUUUCCAAUUUCUUUUGAAAUCGUAGGUUGAGAAAAGAUUGUAUUUUUUUCUUGGAUUUUCAAACUUCACUUGCCACUGCAGCAUGAAUGGUUUUUAUUGCCAACAUAAGGUAAUUAAGGAAGAUUGUGAUUUUCUUCCAAUUGAUAGCUCCAUUCUGUGGUAAAUUCCAAUCCAUCAAUAUCAUUAACAAAUUCCAAAAAAGAAACCCCGUUUAGUGGCAAAAUCAAAUUUCACUAGAGAAUCAAAAUUCAUAACAAACAGUUCCAUUGUAUUCAACCUGUGCUUGGAGAGGUGACAGAGGUGAGAUGAAUUAUUUAGCAGGAGAAGAAAGAGGGCAUCUUUCAGAAAGAAGAAGAGUCCUGAAUUUUCUGGUUUUGUUCCUUUCAAUAUGAACCGUUGAUUAAUUGUUUUGCCACGUGUCGCUCAUCCGUCAAAAGAACAGGAAAACUGGAGCAAGUUUGAACUAGAGCAGAUCUGAACUCAGGAAAAUAGUAUUUGAAAUUGAGUAAUGUUAAGUAAUUUAUUUAUUGUGUUAAUUUGUAUCGUUAUAGUAUGAUGUGAUAUGUUAUCUACAUAUGUAACACAAUAAAAAAAAUGCUCUUGUCCCAACGGAAAACGCUCAUAUCCAACUGAAUGGACGAAAGAACUCUCACGUGACUUAAGUCAUGAUAGGUACUUUCAGUGUGAGUUAACUCACACAUGUUAUAAGUCAGUGUGAUAACUCACGCUCUUUUGGUCGGUGGCGUGACUUAACUUACGCUGCUUUGGUCGGUGAUCUGAGCACAUAAAACACGUUUUUUGAACGGUGUUUAAUUAUUCAAACUUGAUUUUACACGUUUUCAACUGCAUUUAGUGUAGCUAUAACUUAUGUCUUCAUUUCCCCUAUACAUAUUCUUCCAACCUUCACCAUUUCAUCACACCAUCAUCUCAUACUCUCUCCUCCUCUUCCUUAUACAACAACAAUGUUUUUCCAUCGUUAGCCUUUCAUAGAAAGAUGCCUCUUUGAAAAAGUCAAGGAUUGUAUGAACGGUCAAUGGAGAUGGCAAUACACUGCAAAGAAGUACGGUUUGUAUGGGUGUCAUGUUGGUUUGUUCGGGUGCAAGGUUGACCAGCAAGGUCUCUUUCACAUUAGACAAGAAACAUAUAUUAUCCCAAUCCCCUUCUCCCCCACAAUCUAUUUCUAAAGUAGAUGUAGUUUUACCUCAAUCCCCCUUCCCUAGACAGGAAACAUAGUUUUUUGUAAAUGUAUCGAUAUAAUAAUAAAAUGAGAUUUUAUGUUAUCAAUAUUGUUCUUUUAUUUAUUUUUGUUUAUAUUUGCAUUUAUUUUAUGAUUUUGGCAUCUAAAAAAUAUUAUUUCUUUGAAUACUAAUUAAACUCAGCGUGAAUUCGAUCAAAGUUGUGUAUUGAAUAAAUUCUAAUAAAGUGGCACAAGUACACAAAAUUAACUCAAAAAAUAUACAAUUUUAAUUAGUUUUAAUUUAAUCUACAUUAAAUUAUUUUCUCUCUAAAUAUAUGCGGUAUCAUCAUGAUGUUGGACUUAAGUUUAAUUUUGAAGUUUACUAAAAAUCUUGGCAUUUAACUGUCUUAUACUUAGUGUAAAGAUUUGCAGCGUUCUUUGAAAACUCAAAAGAAUGGAUAUUACACAUGUUUUAUUCUAUCUAAUGAGUUGUACAAAUUUUCCCAUCAAAUUCCCACUUAUAAGAUGAGUAGUGACAAACAGAAAUGCAUUCAGAGAGGUUUCUUUUAACUUAAUCAUACUGCCCUGCCAACUAACAAGUUUCAAUUGACAGAGGAGCAUGAUGAAGUACAAAACAUCUUAGAGGUGCAUUCCCUUAUGUCCCACUCAUCUUAUAUGAAGGAAUCUGAUGAAAAAAUUUGUACAACCAUUAGGUAGGAUACAAAAUAUGUUUUAUCCAUUCUUUUGAUUUUUCAAAGAGGUUUGUAAAUCUUUACAUUCAGUAUAAGACACUUGAUCAAUACCAACAUCUUCAGCAAAAUAACAAGAAUUAAACUUAAAUUCCAACAAAAUAAAGACACUACGUAAUAAUAAUGCUACCUAAACAUAAUUUUAUGGCAGAAACAAACUCUUAAGAAUAUCUCCAGGUGAUCUGAGCAAUGUAUCUUCCAUCUCAAUCCUCGGGAACAUGCGUUCCUGAUAAUAUCUGGAGAACAUGUUCCUCACGCAUUCAUCGUCUAUCAUCGUUAUCUUUUCGGUCUACAAAUAACCGGGGCGUGCAUACUGAAGGUCCUCUAGCGUCCUUAUGUCUCCGAGAUUGAGUCCUCUAUUGAUUUCGUUCAAUUGAUCAUUCCGAUCUUUUGGCGUGGCAUCGACCCGACCCGAACCUUGAACAGAUAAGGGUUUCCACCAUUGAAACGUACUUGAGAUUUGAACAAUUUGUUCAUUGUUUCAGAUUUACACCAUAAGAAAUUAAACAAUCAAUGAAAAACUCAUUCAAACAUUUCAUCGAACACUUGCAAUGCAAAUUAUACAUAAACCCUAAAACUCAUAACUACAACAUAAACAUGCAAACAUCUAAACAAUUAAGAAAUAUAAGUCAUUUAGAUGUACACAUUGUAUCAUUUCUUGCCAAAAAAAUCAAAAUUUAAACAAACCAUAAAACUAAAAAAAAUUCUAAUUUAAGAGGAAAAAUUUAACAUAUAAACAUAAAAGUUAAUGAUAUUUGAUUAUGAUAACUUACUUGUUAUUGGAGUGUUGUUGGAUUUGAAUUUGAAGAAAAUAAGGAUUUGUUAAUUUGAGAGUUUUUGGAGAUUUGAGAUGAGAAAUGAGAAAAUGAGCUGCUGUCUGACCUUUAAAAGGGCACACAAUGUGGCUUAACUCACGUUGGCCUUAAGCGUGACUUAACUCACGCUGAUUUAACACAUGCGUGACUUAACUCACACUGGGAACAUUUUUGGAAGUUUAGUUGGAUCUGAGUAAAACUUGUUGGAAGAAGAGCAUUUUUUGGCACAAUAUAUGGAUGACACAUCAAUGACAUCUAAGAGGGUUCAUGUUACCUACAAUUAAUCAAUAUUUUUAGCAACCAUUUGGACAUUAAGUGACUGUGUUCAAGGGCCAUUUUCUAAGACAUAUUUUACCAACUUUCAUUCCCUCUCUCCCUCCCCUAGCUCGCGCUCUCUCUCUCUCUGUCUAUCUCUCCAUUUCUUUAUUUUUACACUUCUCUCUCUGCUUAUUUCAAUCCCUCUCUUUCUGUCGAUCUCUUUAUCUAUCGAUCUUCAUUACUCUCUCUUGCUAUUUAUCAUUCAUUUCUCAGUUUUUCUCGAGUCCCUCUUUUAUGCAUCUUUCUUUAUAAUCUUCAUCUCUUUAUUUUUCUCCCUCUCUCGCAGAAAUUAGUAAAACACUUAUCUACCUUCAAUCCAAAUCAUGCAAUUGCACCUAUGAGUAAUUAAACAUCAAAGGUGUCAUGGGAAGAAAAUGAAGAAAUAAGAAAAACCAACUUGAAAUGAAUAAGUCACAAGUAUAAUUGAGGGUGACAGAGUGUGCGGUUAGACUCAAAUAAAUAAUUAAGGUAUUUAGUUUAGAAGUGAAAUCUUUACUUUUUAAGUAAAUAAUUGAUUACUUUUAAGGGUUCGUCUGGCUCGGACUUCAUCUGGUUUGGAUUUGGAACAAAAAGAAAUAUAUUUUUUAUGAACCGAUCUGCGAAUUGAUUAAUUAUUAAGUUUGCUUAAUCUGCAAGUUAGCUUAAUCAUUAAGUCGGUCCGGAUUUGUUACGAGUUUGCUUAAUCCGCAAGUUAGCUUAAUCAUUAAGUCGGUCCGGAUUUGUUACGAAUUCCUCCUAUAAAAGAGAGCUCGCAUAACUCAUUUGACAAACCAAAGAGUUCUAUUGAGAUGUCGAGAACUUUUUCUGUCUUCCCCCUCUCCAGUUCGUGUUAACGAGUUGUUCUUCUCUUCAUCUUCUCUUUUCGUUCCUUUGGAUUUGAGAGUGUUCUUAAGACUAAAGUCGCUUUAGGUAAAAUGUUCAUUCGAAAUUAAGAAUGGUCUUAAGAUCAUAGUCCCUUUCAUAAUAAUAUCUGUCCCUUUGAAAUAAAGAAUACAUUUAAGAUCAUAUCUCCAUUUUGAAAUAAUAAUGUCUCAUUAAAACUAAGAAUUAUUUUAACAAUAUAUAUAUAUAUAUAUAUAUAUAUAUAUAUAUGUUAUUUCGAUAAUUUUCUACUAUUGGAGAAAUUAUUAAAAAUCAGAAUGGUGGUAAAACCAUAUUUGAGUGGUCAUAUUAUCAUAGUUGGAGAAGUUAAAAAUUAGAAUGGUGGUAACACCCUAUUAGAAUGGUUUUAGUAUUAUAAAAAUGGUUUUAAGACCAUAUUAGAGGUGUAAAUGCAAUAGUUAACCGUACAGUUGUAUAGCUAGACUAUAUUUGAGUGGUCAUAUUAUCAUAGUUGGAGAAGUUAAAAAUUAGAAUGGUGGUAACACCCUAUUAGAAUGGUUUUAGUAUUAUAAAAAUGGUUUUAAGACCAUAUUAGAGGUGUAAAUGCAAUAGUUAACCGUACAGUUGUAUAGCUAGACUUGUUUUAUCCCUGAAGACGGGGUGGUUGAUAGUCUGUCUUUUACAAUUUUUGGCAGUGUCGCAAAACGUCUUAAAGAGAAACUUAAUUGUAAGUAGUUGUGACCUACUUCGAUAUAUAUUCUCUCUCAAAAUAAAAUUUGAAAAUCUAAAUACAACCGUUUCAAAAUCCAAAAACAACAAUAAAAAAGAAGUAAAUACAAAUAUUUUUAUAGGCAUUCUUUAAAUCUAAAUGUCUUCUAUCCUUUAAACUAAACCACCAUUACCUCACCCAAAAUUUUUUAUUAGGGAAAAAAAUGGAGUUGACGAAAUGCAGCAUGUUACAACUUAGACGUCUCUGAAUCAUAAGUUGCACAUGUCACCCCCUCGUGAAUAUAGCUACCCUGUCGCCACAUUUUUUUUUAUAUAUAUACUCGUGACCACAAGGUUUUAUUUCUCAUCGUUUUUGAAUGAAAACUUGCCUGCACGAUCAUUCGAGUUUAUAGAUAAUUCAUUUUCUUUUUUUUAGGGAAAGUUUAUAGAUAAUUCAUAACUCUUAUGGGUUUUACACUAUUCUGUUUCAUGUGCAUGUAGGAACCUAAUUAUGUGUCCCACUCCAAUGCCGGCGGGUCAUUUAUUCUUCAUUUAUAUUUGUUGUCGGUAAAGGUCAUAUAGGUUAUGAUAUGAUCAAUUAAUAUUUUGGUGUCAAACUAAAUAAUAUGACAUUUCUGAUAAUUCUUUAUUAGAUAAUUGUAUUGCAAAAAAAUUCCUUGGAUUGAAUGUUAUAUAUCAUGCUCCCUCCGCUCCUAUAUAUAAGACCCUUUUGCCAAAAUCACGGGAAUUAAGAUAGUAGAUAUUUAUAUUAAAGUUGUUUGUAAUCACUAUUGUUUUUACAAUUUUAUCCUUUAAGAAAAAUGUUAGUUUAUGUUUUCAACAUGUUAUUUAUUGUUGAUUGAAGAAAAAGAUGUAUAAUAAAUAGGGGCAUGUAUGUAAAGAAAUAAUUAAUGUAGUUGAAAAUAACAAAGAAGUCUUAUAAAAAGGGACAAAAAAAAUUCUUAAAAGGGUCUUAUAGUUAGGGAUGGAGGGAGUAUAUAUCAUAUCUAAAUAUAUUUUCAUUAAUCGGAUAUCAUUUUUCAUAUUAACGAGAUACGUAAAACUUAACAUGUUGCAUAAAAGUUUAUAAGACGUUAAUUUUGAUGUAAUUUGGUAACGUAUCAACUGAUAUCUAAUUAAUGUUAAAUUUUGUGGAUAUAAUUUAUGUAAUAAUAGCUUUAAAUUUAACUUUGGCUUUUGUAAUACGGUUGCAUGAUAUAAAAAUCAUUGGCGGUGCCCUAUGAAGUUUGACAUGGUGUCAAUUAUAGUUUAUAUAGACAGCGUAUCAUUGAGUGACCACGUGGCUAAUGAUUUUCAUAAUGAAAUCCUUCACUUCUCAUUCCUAAAAUUUGUACAUUAUGAAUUAUGAUCUUACACAAGUCAAUUAAAAAUCAUCACUUAUCAUGGGUGUAAUAUUAGUAAGUAUUUAUGCCAAUAAAAAACUAUUUGCAAUCUGAAUUACUUUUUAUUCCAAUAAGUAUUUUUAACAUAAAGUUUACUCAUUUUCGAAUCUAGCCUUGAACAUGCAGCCGUGUUAAAACUUUUAGGGAGAGUCUACCGUCCAUUUGGGUCCCACAAUACUUGAGGGAUUAGUUUCCGCAGUUGCGCGCGGAGGAUAUCCGAUUUACACCAAAAAAUAUAUUGACCAAUUUUGUAAUGGAUGUUUUAAUUUUUAUUUUCUCUUUAUUUGUCUAUUAUAUUUUUUCUUUUUGCAAUCCAACCUGUAAUUGCGAACCUUUAUUUAUUUAAAGUUAGGAAAAAAAAUUGCACAAACCAAAAUGAUAUAUAUUAAUAACAAUGUUGAUCCACCCUGCACAAGGUGUGCUAAAAAUGAAUCAUCGAACAAGAGUUACAAAGAACAGGCGCCAAAUAAAGUGAGGCACCAUCGAAAACAAUCCAAAAAUAAAUUACCGGGCAACACCCAUACACAGUAGCGGGUGUUUCCACCAAUCGAAAUAACUGUAAACAAAGGAUGGUUGCUUAGCUUUCACCCACAAGAAAGAAGUAAUCUUGAUUUUUUCAAUAAGAACACAAUGAUGUCAAGCCGCAUCUUUAAAAAUACCGUUAAUCUGAUCCUUCCAUAUGACCGAUGCACAUGCAAACCAAAUACCUUUUAAAAAAGAACGAGUGCACCGCGGUAAUCCCACCAUAUUGGUAAACUGAAUAUGAUGUUCACGUAACUCACAAGGAGACACCGCAUAUAAGCCUAACCAGUUCCACACAUGAUACCAUAAAUUAGUGGAUGUAUCACACUCCAAAAAUAGACGUCUAGAUGUUUCCAGAACCUCGCAACCAGCCGCACACAAAGAGUCUGUUGCUGAGAGUAUAUUCUGCGUCAAUAAAUUUGCUCACACUGGUAGUUGUAACGCCCUCUUUGAAUUAUUUAAUUAUUUAAUUGAGUCUAGAGUUUAUUAUGAUCAGUUUAUAUUAUAUUUAUAUGAUAUAUGUGUGAUUUAAGAGGUUUAUAUGAUUGAGGUGGUUUUAUGUGAUUUUAUGAGGAGUUGUGACUUAUUUUAUUGUUUAAUAAAAUAAGAUUUGAAAAUAAAAUAAUUAUUGAGUUUAGGGGUUGUUUUGAGAUUUUAGAGAGUUUUGGGGGAGAAAGAGAAAUAAGAUAAGAUAGAUGAAGGAGAUAUAAAUAGGGAAAACCUAGUUUAGAAAAAACAUAACGUACGAUCAGUUUUUGGAAAAAGGGAGAAAAAGCCAAGAGAAGAGCAAGAAGACCUAGAGGCUGCGAUUUUGAGUUAUAAGGUAAGGGUGAGACUAACUUUGCAAUUCUAUUAAGUCUGUGAUUCAAUGGUUAGGUUUAACAUGAUGUAGGAUGAGUUUUAGAGAAUUUGAAAACUAGGUCAAAAUUGUAGAAUUAUUGAUUAAACGGUGGAAACUUGUUAGAUUGAUGUAGAAACAGUUACUAGACCUUAGAUAAUGUGUAGGGUGAAUUCUGGAAUCAAUGUUGGGCUUAAAAUCAUGAGAAAAGAUGAAUUUUCGUGAAAACUUCACUUCUGCCCGAGCCAACAUUCAUCGCUCGCCCUCGCGAACGAUGAUCCUCGCCUCGCGAGUGAUGAAGUUCAUCGCUCGCCUCGCGAACAAUUUCCCCUCGCCUCGCGAGUUGCACGUCGCAGCUCGCCAUAGCGAACAGUUGAACUCGCCAUAGCGAGCAUGACCAGAGAGCUAUUCAGAUUUCGUAAUUUUGACUUUUGAGUUGAUCCUUGGAUGUUUUUGAGUGCCUGAACAUGUCUGAUAAUGAUUAGGAAAGAUUAGAGAAUGAGAUUGAACCUGAGAAGACUUUAGAAUGAAUUUUGUGAACUGAACCUGAACUCGCCAUGGCGAGCAGAGGCUCUCGCCUCGCGAGUACUUGUGUUACAAACUGCCUUGUUUAAGUUAAAUGCGAUCCUUGUCGCACGAGUUGAUGUGAGUUGAUCUUAGAGGUUAGAAACUAAGUUGUUUAUCUUGUUGUUAUUGUUCCAGUAAGACUGAUGCAUAUGAAUUGAUGUUGUUUAUAAUGUUGUAUAUACAUUAAAUGGAUUAUGUUGAUAAUUGAGAUAUUGUUGAUUGUAUUCGAUAUUGUUAUAUAAUGAUGAUUUGCAUACUGCCUAUGUUGUUGUUGUUAUUUAACUAAGCAACAUAAGUUGGUCUAAGUUGAUGACGAUGUUGUUCCAAAUUAUUGGACUUAUAAGAUGAUGUUGUUCUAAGUUGUUAAGAUGUUGUGUCCAUGCAUUAGCAUUCAUUGUUAGGGGCUUGAUGCCCUAGAGCCUUUGCUCAACCACGUUGGGGGCUUGAUGCCCUGGAGCUUUAGCUCAAUUAAGUUGGGGGCUUGAUGCCCUGGAAGUAUAUUAAUACUUAUUACGUUGAGGGAUUGAUGCCCUGGAUUGGUACCACAUGCAUAUAAGAGGUCGAAGUUGCACAGUCGCAUUUGUCGAGUCAAAGAUGAUAAGUUGUGAAGUUGUGAUUGCUUAUAUGAACUCUGAAUGAAGUGAUAAAUGAUACAUUGUUAUCUAUGAUGAAUAUUAUGAUGGUUUAAUGUUGUUAAAUAUAAUUGUUGAAUUAUAUGCUUAAUAUUUUUUUUUUUUUUUGUGAAAUCUCACCCCUUCUACUUGGAAAUGUUGCUCUUCGUAUGAGUAACUUGCAGGUGAUCGAGAAUAGUUGCUUUGCUGUCGUGAGUGGUUAUCCCUCACUGAGUCUUUAGGUGCUCUGAUACGUAACGGGAUGGGAUCUUUUGUGGCUAUUUUCCAUUUCUUACGUAUUUGAUUAUGAUUUCAUGACUAUGUCGUUUAAACUGAAUUUAUGAGAUAUUGAUAAGGCCUGCGUGCCAAGACUUAUUUAUGUUGAAGAAUUUAAUCCGCUGCGAAUAUGUUGAUGAUUUAUGUUGAAGGAUAAUUAGUCAAUUAUCUCAUUUAUGACUUUUAGAAGUGUAGCAUUCCGUUAUGUGUUGAAUACUCUGAUUAUAUGUUUGAAAUUUUUAAGUUGGGAAAACGGGGUUUUACAGUAGUCUAUCACGAAGAAGGCGCCACACAAACAAAGACACCUUCGUCAGAAUGUUCCUAUGCCAGACAUCAUCAACAAGCCUCCUAUCCACCUGAUCCCCAAAUUCGGUAAUAAAUCGAUAUGCAUCCCUCACCGAAUAACCGUGUGUAGGAUCUAGAAGCCAACUCCACCUGUCAUUAACAUCAUCCUGCAAAACAAUGUUAUGUAAUAAUACUAAGCAUUCACACUUUCCUCCUCCCAAGCUAACAGCCGACAUCUCCAUACCCACGCUCGUCCCCCUUCACCCCACCCCUCUCUCGCCAUCUCCUCCACCGCACACUCUCCUUAUUUAUCGCCAAAUCAAAAAGACGGGGAAACCUGAAUCGCAAAGGCGUGUCCCCCACCCAAUGGUCGAACCAAAACAAAAAACUGCGUCCAUGACCCACUACUCGACGGAUAUUACGUUCAAACCAAUUCCUCACUCCCUCACCUACUCCCCCACGGACCUUACACAACAUCCUCCACCAUAACAAACAAUGUUUACCUCCCUCCUUUAGUCGCCCCCCUUCCUCUCCAUAAUGUGAUUUUAAGACACGAUACCAUAACCCUCCUUAUCAAUCAACAUCCUCCAAUACCACUUCCCUAACAGAGAAAAAUCAAACUCUCCCAACCUUCGCACCCCUAACCCUCCGUCCUCCUUAGGAACGCAAAUAGAGUCCCAUUUAAUCCAUGUUAUUUUCCUAGUAUCCUCACCUGGAGGGAUUUAAGAGAGGUUUUUCAAAAUUUUAUAAUCCUCUUAGCGGAACAAAUCCCAUUGAAACGGAUCUUGAUUAAAUCAUUAAUCACAAAUCAAACAGAAACUUAAACACUUUAAGAUUAAUGUGUUUACCUCUUGAAGAGCAGAACCUUUGUAGAAUAAAUAUUUCUAAUCACGAGCAAAGCAAAGUAGCGAUACCUCUACUUAGUCCACACGAACAGAACUUCUCCGAUGACCGGUGCAAGCCAAUUCUAACGGAGAUUCAAAGAGAACAAGGUUUAGAGAGCGACGACUAGGGUUUCACAACUUUUGUUAAUUAGGUUAAGCACUCACAAAAAAUUAGUAAUGCUUCAACACAAGGGUUCUAUUUAUAGAAUCACUUGUGUGGUCAGCAAGACAACACUUAAAUGCACCGUACCUUACGGUGGACCGCGUUUCUCUAUUUUUCGUAAAUUAAAUAAUAAAGUCAUAUUUAAUUAUUUAAUUACUAAUAAGUCUCACUUAUUAUUUUAUAAAUAAGUCUCACUUAUUAUUUUAUAAAUAAGUCUUACUUAUUUAUUUCUCUCAUUUAUCUGUCCUUAGUGUGUGACCCUAUAGGUUCCCGUAACGUUGGCAAUAAUAUUAAAUCACAUAUUUAAUAUUAUAAACAGUGAGCAUUAUCUAGCAACACAACACUGCUACCCAAGUGACGAAAAUGUCAUGUGAUCUGACGAAACCUUUCUGUGAUAAUGAUCAUGUGUAUAAUUACUCUUUUGCCCUCAUGUCUAUAUUGAACACAAGGCAUAGACCGUGUCAUCCUUGUCUAGUUCAAAAUUGGGCCCGUAGACAUUUCACCUGUUAUGUAGGAGGGGAAAAUUUCAUCUAGAUCACUCAUGUCCCUCAGCAUGAUUCAUGGAGUACUCAUCAACCAAAUUUAUAGUCAUCCUGUUACGGACAACGUUUGAAUGGUGACAAAGCACUCGACUCCAACAUCUAGGGUAUAUAGUGGUUUUAGGUCGAAGGGUGGAAUACACCACUAUCACUAUGGGAAUAUCGUAUGACACUUUUCAUAACUUUUAUUAUGUAGUAUUCUCAUGGCGAGUCAAUCAAAUAUAAACAUUACUCCUAAUAUUUAUAUCUAUGUGUAGACUUGAUAACUCUUUAUCCAUGAUCUGUGAGAUGUGAUCAUCAGUCUAUCCACAUAAUAGUCUCUAUGCUUUAAUUAUAUCCCUUUUCUCAAUAAAGCUUGAUUACGGAUACUUUAAAAAUAGUUUCCUUAUGUUUAACGGGGUCUCACAAUUAAGUUAAUUAUACUUAAUGUUCCAUUAAACAGACUAACUAUUCUAGGGACUUUAUUAUUUUGAAACAAAACAAAAUCAAUAAAGAAAUGUCUUAUUAUUAUAUAUUCACAAUAUAUAUUUAUAUCAAUAUCAUGAUACAAAGCCAAACCCAAUCAAUAUAGACCAGCUAUUAGGGCUUACUCCAACAUCACCCCUCCCCCAAUGGGCAGCGCCAAGUACACAAACUCCUACAAUCCCCACCAAUGGGCAGCGCCAUCUACACAAACGGAAUAGAUCCCCUUCUACAAUUCAUUACCAACGCUGCCUCCGCUAGCCAAGAGUCAGUCACAUUGAUACCCAUCAGCAUACUUUUAUGGAAAUUCACCUUCAAACCCGAAAUGUCCUCAAACAGAAGCAACACUGCACGCAUGGAACGCACAUUCUGCCAAGUUUUUUCACCUAUUUAAAGUUAGAAAAAUGAAUAUGUUAGAUAAAAAAUAUUACAUAAAAAUUAUGUGUGUUUUAUUAUUUCUACGUACUAUAAAAGGAGUCGAUAUGUCCACAAGUCUUAACUCAACUAGCAAAAAUGUCAAAAUUUUAAGGUUGGAUGUUGUGAUCGUGGUUCGAAUUUUGACUCCCUCGCUUAUGCGUGCGAGUUUAAUGGUUAUUUGUUAUUUCUUUUAUCUAAAAAAUGGGUCAAUAUUGUUACUUAUUUAUUUUAUCUGAUAACUCAUAUUUUUUUUAUUACAAUAGCAUUAAUAAUAAUGGCAAUCUUAUUAAAUCAUCCAUAUGUUUUCUUUUGACAAAUAUUAUUUAUAUGUUUUUGAAAAAGAAUAUCUAGAUCUAAGAAACUUUUUUAACGGCCAUAUGACAUGACAUUUUUAGUUAAGUAGGUUUUUUUCAAAAGUCUUGGACUUGUCUAUUUUCUAAAAUAUUAUCCCUAGCCCGAAUCUUAUGUAGGCUAUCUCACAUGCCCCCUAUGUUAACGGCAUCAUAUUUAAGAGAGGUUGAUUAUCAUCUUAUUUAAGUUUUCUCUUAGAUAUGUUAUGGUUACCUUGAACUUGGAUAUUCCUUUGUUUUAUAAGAUGAUUUAUAGCAAUGCAUAAGUCCAAAAUUUACGGAGGAUUUACAAAGCAUGAACGAGAAGAUAUAAAAUUUGAAGAAUACUCAUUUUGCAAAUGUGUUUAGUCAAGAGAUCAAUGUUAUUUCACUCUUUGAAGAUGAAACUCACUAUAAAGUAAAAAAAAUGUGAGACUUUGCAUGAAGGGAGAAUUUGUUACGUCAAAGUGGAUAUCCAUCCUAGUUUCACAAAGAGUAGUGUAAAGAAAGAGAGGUAAUGUUAUUAUAAAUAUGACAAGUUAGUUUUCUUCACCACAUCUUCAAUCUCUUGAGUCUACUAGAGGCUUGGGUAGAUGUAUGUCAUAAAAGGGUUUGUAAUUUUAUCGUGCAAAAAUUAAAAUUGAGAGGUUUGCGAUUAUGUUCUUAUAAAAAUUGCAAUUGUGUGAGAAUUGAGAUGGUUUGCUAUUUUACAUAUGCGUUAAAUAAUAUGACACUAAAAUGUCACAUUAAUUAGUUUAGCUUAUAGGUUUUAAAUUAUCUCAAUAAAUAUCUAUGUAAACAAAAUUAACAUCAUUGAGUAAGGGUGAUUAUAUAUAGGGCAGUUUUUGACCUAGAAUCACUCAUCUGCAAUUUUUUUUUCUUCCUUUCUUUCAAUCUAAAUAAGUGGUUUUCACAUAUAUCAAGAUUUUCUUGUUUUUUUUGUGAUUUCGUCGUCUGAGUGUGGCGUUGUAUUGUUCUCCGUCUUGUGCGGUGUUGUUGAUUUCGCGUCUUGUUGAUGUGUUCUUUUAGUUCCUAUUGAAAGAUCGACUUCAGACAAUUACAGAUUUAAUCAAUGAUUAUGGCGUCAACUUCUACGGAUUCAAAAAUUUGAGUAUUUUGGUGACUUGGAUUUUAUCAUUAUCUAUUGGUAGUUUGCAAGGUCGUUCCUAUGAAAUGGGAGGCUCGGCUCUCUAUUUAAAAUAGUUCCCCAGUAAAAUAAAAACACAAUUUGUUUGUGUACCGAAGCUUCAUUAAAAAAUCGGAGUUAUAAGAACUUCUAAACAUGAAACGAAAUAAAGAAAAAAAUAAGUGAAAUUUACUUAACAGUUUCGUUUGGAUUUGUCACUCCUCCGUUAUAGGAAAGGGAAAACAAAUGGCUUAUGCAAAAAAGAAUUGAUUGUUGCGAAGCUUUCAGUGAAAUAGAUUUUCAAAUUGAAUGAUUAAGUGAUUAUACAAAUUGGGGGUGAUUUGAUAGCACCAGAUUUAUGUCUAGAAAAGAGAACUAGAUUUUAGACAAAACUUAAAUGUGUACCGAUGAAAGAAAGAAAAAAAAAAGUAACGUAUAUUUUUUUAUUUAAUGGAGGGUGGGUAUUAGACUUAAUUUUUUUUUUUUAGACCCAUAACUUUUUGAGGCCUGACUUGGUUGAGCACCUUAUACUCUUGCAAGGCCGGGCCUGGUAGUUUGUCAUUGUAUGCAUUAACUAUGGUGUUCUGAGUUUGUUCGUAGACUCACUCUUUAUGUUUUAGCGAUAUUGAACAAAUUAUUGUAUAUGAUGUACUCUAUCAAUUCAAAUGAAUGAAUAUUUUUUUGUUUUUUUUAAAAAAAAAAUUACAUCAUUGCAUAGAAACUAAUCUCAUUAACUAUUGCCAAUGAAUUUCAAAAACCAAAAUAAUGAUAUUCAAAUCUGAAUAUAAGUCAAAAGCAGGCCACGAAAUUUACUAAAGACAAGUAAUAGCAUCCUCUCUUUCUUAACUUACAUUUAUACCAUAAACUAGUCCUAGACUAAUAUGGAGGAAGACGUGCCUUAAAAUAUUCAUAGAAUACACCUAUAAAUCACAAAACAUAAAGUCAUUUAGAAAGGACAUAAACUCACACACAAAUACAAGAAGAAGAGCCAAGAUCUAAACAUGGAAGCCAACACUUUUGCAAGUUUUUCUUUAGGUCAUGUUCUCAAAUUUGCAAUUUUGAUUUUGCUAGCAAUAUCUAGCAUCACUUCAGCAUGUGAGGACAAUUCUACAAUCCCUACCAAUUCCCCCAAAACAAACCUUUCAUACACUUCCAAUGCUCCCUCAAAUUCCACCAACACCAAUGAUUUCAAAACCUAUAUAAAAAAUUCAUGCAAUUCAACCACAUAUCCAUAUAUAUGUUACAAAUCUUUAUCUCCCUAUGCUUCAACAAUUGAGGCAGAUCCUCUAAAAUUAUGCAACACUUCUCUCUCGGUUGCAUUAAAUGCGGCUCGCGAUGCAUCCUCCGCCAUAUCAAAGCUUCUAAACAACGAUGAGAAUAAAUUGUCAAGCAUUGGUGAAGAAGUUGUGCAAGAUUGCCUUGGCAAUGUGAAGGAUUCAAUAGAACAGUUGCAAGAUUCUCUUGAUGCCAUGGCACAUUUGGAUGCUUAUUUUGAUAGAGAAUUUCAGAUUAGUAACAUGAAGACUUGGGUUAGUUCAGCCAUUACUAAUGAUCAAACUUGCUAUGAUGGGUUUGAUGAUAUGAAUGUGGAUUCUACACUUGGGGACAAGAUUAGAAGAAGAGUUUUGAAUGUGGCAAGGAAGACUAGCAAUGCUUUGUAUUUUAUCAACAAUAACAUAUAUUAAUUAAGGUAUAAGUUAAUAAAUUGAGGCUUUUUUAAACGGUUUUCUUUUGAGUUUGGUAUGUUAUUUGUGUUCAUAGAGUGAAAAUUGAAGUUAAAAUGGUUUGUAAUCAAGUUAAUUAGUCUUAAAUAUGUGCUUUUGAUCGAUUCAUGGUCGUUUUUGGUUUGAAUUCCAAACAUGUGCCAAGCGGGUUUAAAGGAAUUGAGUGGAUGUAUUAUAGAGAUAUUUAAUCAUAAUCUAAUUUAUUUGAUAUUUUAUGUUCCAUCAGUUUGUUUUAGUUUUUGUUUUUUAAAAAGUCGGCUUCCAAAAAGUUAUUUUGAAUAAUUUAUCUUAAAAAUCAUUCUUGAUAGGUGAUUUAAAAAGAAUCAUCACAUCACAGUAAACAAAAUACAAAACAGUUUCUAUUUCACUUAAUAAUUUUUAAAAAAUAAUUUUAAAAUUAUUAAAUGCUAAAAUCAUAUAUUUUAUAAUUGGCAGCAAACUAAUCUCUAAUCUUUCAAUAUACUUUUUUUUUUUAAACUAAAAAUGAAUAUAUUAAUUGAAUCACUCAAUCCUCCUAGCACAAAGAGUGUCAGGAAAACACAAUGGAAAAGAGAAAUAUGUUACAUCAAAAUCGAAAAGAAACAAGAAUAAAGAGUCAAAAACAAAACUUACUAGAAAACAACUGAUCAUGAACAAAAACAAAAAAAAAGGUUAGACCAUCAUAUCUGAUAGUUAAAAACAAAAUUAACGCUUUCGGCCACCAAGAACAAUGAUGAAUCUUAAUGUGAUUAGAUUUUCAUAUAGUCAACCAACAACACUAUAUAACCAAGCCUCUUGGUGGUGCUUAGAGGUUCAAUUGGUUCUUGGCCACCAAUACCCAUGCAUGUAUCACGAUAGUAAUUAGUCCUUGUUUAGAAGCUUUAGAGUAAUAACAAAAAACUUGACAACAAUGUUGAUCAUAUUCUUGUUUGUAUUUUUCUUUGAAUUGAUGAAAACCGCCCAAUCUGGCUCAGACGUGACAAAUGGUCACUAUAACACCAAGCUUACAAUUUUAAUAUUAUUUUAUAUUUCAAUAAUCAUACCUAACUAAUUCUAAAUCAAAGGCAAAAGAUCAAUCUCAGAUUGCACGUCAGAUAAGCAUUAAGAGCAGUAAUAAAGACAGUGAUAAAAUGUUAUAGAAUUUAUUUAUAGCUAGUCAUACCAAGUAUUUAUAUUCAAUUCCUAGCUAGUUAUACUUAAUCCCGACAUAAAGAUAAAAAAAAAAAAAAAAAAAAUUAAUCAGCAAAAUUUUAUUAAAAAUUAGGUCUCUGCACAAGACAAACAGAGACCGAUGUCACAGAAAGUACAAACUAAAGGCGUCGUAUAUAGGCGGAACACCCGAAAUAAACACCCACAAAGACACCCUUGCGAUCAACACUCAUAAGGACAACACCCACCAAAAUAAACAUCACCCCCUAAAACUGACUUCUAUGUUUAACAACCACUAAAAAAACGACAUUCAUAACACUCAUCGUCACUACUCACCUCAAAAGAACACCCUUGAAAAAGAGGAACCAUUCCUUAUCACCAACACCGAGCCAAAUUCGAGGAACUCCUUUUCUAAAGAUCAUUCAACUUCCGCCACCGCUUAACCUCCGGUCCACCGAAAGAACACCAAAAAAGCCCAAAACCAAACUUGAACCAAAGAACUAACUCCUGAUCUCGAAUCAAAAGUGAUCGGCCCACAAGAGUUCAGGACCAAAUCAGAAGGACACUCAUUACCCCCCGGUCGACCAGAGAACCACUGUAGCUCGCCAAACAAAAAUGUUGCUAAAACGCCAACUCCCGAUCUUGAAGCAAAAUAAUCGGCCCAUCAGAAUUCAGCACACAAUAAGUAAGACAGACAGCAUGAUUUGCGAUAGAGCAAACAUCAGUCAAAAAGGAAAAAAGCUCAGCUUGAAUGACAGACACCCUCAAAACACUCUAAACACCAUAACAACCUAAAACUCAAACAAGAGCUAGCGACAACGAGUAUGGACCCGAAUAACAGAGGCAACCUCCAAUAGAAAUCAUCCACAACAACCACCCACCACCGAACCUAAGCAACACCAACCACCACCACACUUCAUCACCCCCACCACCACCACACAUCAACAACACCACUCAACACCAUCACCACCACCACCAAAACUGAAUAACCUCCACCACCACUGCAUCACCACUACCAACACUGCAUUACAACGUUGACAAACCUCCUCACGAAGAAACAGGCAGCAACACAAACAUAAAUAUGGAGGAAGACGAAAUCCAACAACAAAACACGGGCAUCGACGCCGGUUUGAAGCGAAAAGACAACCCAGAUCGUAACAAGGUUGCCGCCAGUGACAAGGAGAAGGCGCAACGGCAUCUGACAACAACAAAAACGAAGGAUGACAUCGCCGAAACAAACACAAAAAAGACACAAACGGCAACACCCAAAAAAAAAUCAGCAACACCCAAAGAGGACGGUGGCGCAAAACCACCACCCACUCCUUCGGCAACCAACGACAUCACAACACAAACAGAAAACAACUAUACGACAUUAAAGGAACAAAACAGUCCCCCCGGAGAAGUCGGAACAGCUGACAGAAACACACACUACACAACCACAACCACCCACCUCUUACCCGCUAGUGAACCAUUAACGACCACCCCCAUAACGACCUCUCACUGGCGCAACAGACACACCACUUAACCACCACCGAUCCACCCCAUAUCCACCACCGAGUCACCACCAAUCAACCACAAAUAACUUAACCCACCAAAAACAAGCUCGAAAACAGCCAUAAAAGGAACAUAUCUGAACACCACUCAAACACACCAUGGAAACCAUACAGAGGAGAUGAAGAAACCACCACAAAUCACCUUAAAAACCACCACCACCGCAAGUUAUGAUCUGAGGAAACCCAGCCGCUGGCGCACCCACCAGAGACCAGAGGUGAUGCGGAUGGUUUUCCAUCUUCGCACCACCACCCACCGCCGUUUACAUUGAGAACCAAAGAAAUUUGGAAAGAAGGGGCGGCAGAGAUAAGGAGUUAGAGAGAAUCCAGAGAAAGGUACUUUUUAGAGAGAGAAAGUUUUGUGUUGACAACAUAAAGAGAAAUUAACUACACAUAUUGUAUAAAUCUUAUUCAUUCAUGGAUCGUGAACUCGGUUAGUUCUCAGAUUGUUCAGUCUUAUUUAUUAAGAAUGUUGUUGAUGUUUGGAAAGAGUUAAAGGAACAAUUUUCCAAGUUUGAUCACAUUCAUGUUGCUAAUCCAUCAUCAAUUCUUUGAAACAAGGUUCACUUUCCGUUACUGAUUACUUCAUUGCACUACUACAAUAAUGGCAAUUAGUAACAAUUGAAAAUUGUAACUAAAUCAAGAAAAAUGUUACUAAUUAAAUUUAGCAACACUUGAACAAUUGUUAAGUAAAGCCUGUGUUAUUAAAGUGUUUUAGUUACAUUUUAUAGUACUAUCUGUAACAAUCAAAAAGUGUCGCAAAUGGUACCUUAUUGUAACAUUUUUUGUAUCACUUGUAACAAUAAAAAAGUGUUACAUUUAUAAUUUUUGAGGAGUUGUAAAAAGUGUCGCAAAAUUGUCUAAACUAAUUUUUUUUAAUUUACCAAAUUUGUCUUUGCUUAGACUUCAUUCAUAUUUGAAUUAACCAAUAUUAGAUACAAGUUUUAAUAACUAGUUUGAAUUACAUACUCUAUAAAAGUUCCCCUCUUCUCUGUUCUUAUUCUUGCAUGACGAAAAUAAACUAUGCAACACAAUUUGAACUAUACAACACAAUAUGAAUUACAUACAAAAAUGAUUACAAUUAUGUUUUCAUCCAACACAAUUUCCCCCUUCUCUUUAAGGUCAUCAAGCUGCACAUGAGAAAUGCAAGCCUUCUCUUUAAUCUCCUUUGUCUUGUGUCGUUGCUUAUCCGCAAUCAUCUUCAUAAUGUUCUGCCUGCAAGAUUGCAGACAUCCCUUCCUUAUCUCAUCACCAGUAUUGUGCAACAAUUUUAAUGCAAAGGACGAUUCUGUCAUGAAAAUCAUUUUCAAUUGAAACUUACCAAGCUGCAACGUUCAUACCAUGCUCAACAAGGAUACUAAGAAAAACAAGUGUAAUAGCUAAUAGAGAUAAUCUUAGAAUUCACAAUUCAAUUAGAAUAAACAACAGCAGGGGAAUUUGCAUUCAACAGAGACUUCAUAGAUAGUGGAGACAUAGACUUCAUACACGAGCUUUUGUAUCUGAACAUGAUAGGAGUUUAACUCUAAUAUAGAUAAUCUUAGAAUUCAAAUCAUAUAUCAAUUCAAACAUUGUACAGUGAUAGAAAAGUAUAUAUGGCACUGGGAACACAUUUAAAGGAACUUGGUGGCUGUCAUAGAUUCAGUGGAGGAUGUCUUCCUAGUGGCCACUAAUCUUAAGGUGUCACAUGAAUAACAAUUCAAUUCUAGUGUUUUGCAAACAAAUCCUAAAAAUAAAAAUAAUAAUGAACCACAACUGAAGAAUUCUAUAUUUUGCAGACAAGAAUCAGAAUGACAAUUAACUAACAAUUCAUUAUUUGUGAUGAUCAUUAAAAUAAGUAUAGCAACCACUAAGACCAACACCAGCAAGAACUAAAUCAAACCACAACAUCAAGAGACAAAACUAACCAGAAGGAAUACUCAACAUUAAUAGUUAGUUUAAUAAUUCUAAAUAAUGACACAUUACAAUGCCAAAGGACACCUAUUUUCCAGAACAAGUACAUUCAAGGCAAGAAAAUGAACCGUAAAAUCCAAGGGUCUGCAUGUUCGUAAUAUUAAGGUUAGCUGCAGCUUUAAAAUCACAGUAUAUCAUAUCCGCUGUAACAAGAGCUGAGAAAAUUUCACAACAAAAAACCCCAAUUACGAACACAGGAAGUCAGAAAGGAACGAGAAAACUAAAUCCACAAAAAAGACAAGGAAACGUGAAGAAAUCAUUGUCAAAGUAGAGAUAACCAAAUGAAAGCUUAACAACGGCAGCCAAUUGCAGAUUCUUGUGCUCCAUUAAGGUCCCCUUUAAACUAAGUCCUUGCUCCAAUUGCAGAAUCUGUGAGGAAUACCCCAUUUUGGAGUGAAUAUUUUUAUUCUUGUUUAUAUAUAACCACAAACAGCAGAAAAAUAGAAAAAAAAUUAUAUUCUGCUACAAUGAAUCAACCAAUGAUGGUUAAGAAGAAAAGAUAAAUUCAGGAAGAGAACUUGCAACUACAACCAUUUUGUUAUUGACCUAGCAAAUUUUACCUUGUCCCUGCCUUUUUUUCUCUUGAUGUGCUAUGCUUUGCUCUGUGGGGAAGAUAUACUCAUGAGGAAAUUAUUCCGUCCGCUGCUUAAUAUCUUAUUAAAAACUAAACCUAAAAUAAACCACAAAAUAUUUGUACACGGUUAACUGUAGCAUUAACUCCUCCAUUCAGCUAACCUACCAAAAUAAAUAACUUUCUAAGGGAAACUAAACCUACAGGGUUGUAAGAAUAAGGCUCAAUCGCUCAUAUAACUUCUUCCUUAAUUAGUUCUAAAUAUACUCUUAAUCAAUGUAUUCAACAUAGCUCAAACAUCGGUGAACUUCAAAAUCAAAACCAGUAUAUCAGAAGAAAAUAAAUGCAUUACAACCACAAUGUAGCAUAUAAAUAAAGAUGAAGGAAAAAUACUACAAGCAAUGCAAUGCACUCCACAAUCAAUAGCUUAAUAACUUAUUCAUUUGUCAUGCGCACAUAACAUGAUGAGCAUAUAUACAAUUACGUUCAGAAAGAAAACAAAAGUAAUUUCUCAUAGAAGUAAAUCUGAAAACAAAAAACAUUAUAAAUUCACAAUUCAAACUUCAUAGCAAACAAGACAUCCUUGACGUGAUAAGAGUCUCCGCUCUUUGAGAUUAAAAACGAUAUCGAGCUGCGAGGCAACGACUUAUUAGCACCUCAUCACAGUACUUCAAAUCGACCUCUCUCAGUUGUGUGCAUUUUUCAACCACAUGCGUCACUCCUUUGUCUGCAACACCUUCACAAAAUUUAAGUGACAGUUGCAAAAGCCCGCUGCAACUCUUUGAGAUCCAAUAGAGUGAUAUAUUGUCAACUCUUGUAAAUGACAAGUCCAACACCUCCAGUUUGGGAACUUCAAAGUUCAAUGUACGUAGCUUCAGUCUUAGCGAGUUAAAUUCAAAUGUCUAAUGUUACAACAUAUCAUUAAAACAUGAACAAUACCUUCUUCAGAUAUGUCUUUGCAAUGGCUCAAAUCAAGUAGCUGUAAAUUUGGGAAACAAUCAGCAAUGAGGAACAGGUCAGUGCGAUUGAUAGAUUCAAUGAAGGAACACGUGAGAGAGGUUAAAGUUUUAAUGUUUUGAGAGAAAGCUUGCAACCCAUUUGUCGGGAUGGUGGUUUGCACUGAAAAAACGAGUGAUGUGAGUCUCAAUGGAAAACUAGAGAUUUGGCAUAGAAGCUUGUUGAGGUAAACCCGAGUAACAAAACUUAAUACCAUAGUCUAAAUCUAGAACAAUUGAUUACUAUAUCUAAAACUAUUUCAUUCUCUGCCUCAUGUAACAAAGCUUAAAAUUACAAACUCAUUUCUAUGAACAACAAACACUAACAUUAUUACUACUACUUCUCAACACAAAACUUCAGUUAAAUUUCUUAUACUUACGCACGCGGCAACAUCAAUCAAACACAGAUUUCAAAAAAAUACAAAAUUGAGUUUGAAGAGUAAUCAGCAAAUUCUAAACAACUUUUUUUUCAAUCAUAGAUCCACUAGAACAAAAAUUGAGUUAAAUUGCGAAUGAAAAUCAUGGAUCUACGACUGUGAAGUUAAUUUCGAUUCAAACUCAAACAAUUGAGUUAAAUUUCAAUUCAUAACAAAUCCACCAAUCCACUCUAGGAUAAUUUCUUAUUCUUUGGCAACAUCAAACACAUGAAUUUCAAAGAAAUUAUAAAUCACAAAUGCCAAACAGAACAAGAAGAAUUUGAGUUAAAUUGUGAAACGAAAAUUAAACACAUAGAAUUUCAAAACAAAAUUCAAACAAUGUGAACGAAAUAGAUGACUCAUAACAGAAAAAAAAAAAAAAAAAAAAAAAAAAGCACGGAUCUAAGAUAAUUGCGAUGAAAUCUAAGCGAAAUCAAAAAAAUGCGCGAAAAAUGCGAAACCGAAGAAGAAUUCGAGUGUUACCUGCUUGAGCGAAAGAGGAAAAAGGAUUUGUGAAAUUAGAUCUGCAACUGUGAAAUUGGAUGAUGACGUUCAAUGGAUCCGCGACCGUGAAGCUCGAUCGGUGAAGUAUGAAGCUCGACGGUGAGAUUCAGUUCCGUGAGAAGCUCGACAGAAUGAGAAUGCGUGACGGUGGAGGGUGAGAGGGAUGAAUGACGGUGUGAAAUUCGUCGGUGAAGCUUAACGGUGGUCGAUGGUGUGAGCGUGACGGUGGUCGAAGGUGUGCGACGGUGGAAAAGUGGUUCUGCUGAAUUGAGAUCUCGGUGAGAGAGAAAAGUGAUUUUUGAGGGAAGAGAGAGAAAAGUGUUUCUCAAUUGCUUAUAACACUUUUUUUACUUUUUUUAUUUUGACUAUUGUUGACUAAAUUUUUUAACAUGUGAAUGAAUAAUGAAUGGGUUGUUGCUUGUAUUUUUUUUUUUUUUUUUAUGGAUGGUACUUGUAGUGGAUGUAACACUUUUACUCAAUUGUUACUAUAUCACUAUAUCAGCUAACAAUUUUUCAAGUGUUGCAAUCACCAUGUUACUAAAAGUCAUUAUUGUAGUAGUGUUCAGUUAAAGAUUAUUUGGGACGAAUUAGAAAGUUAUUGUCAUCUCCCUACUUGUACGUGCCAUCAUCAGUGCCAAUGUUUAGCUAUGCCUAAUCCUAAGGAUUUUCAUUUAGAGGAUCAUGCACUACAAAUCCUCACGGGUCUUAAUGAUCAAUUUUCCGUCGUUCAAACACAAUUUUUUUCAUGGAACCUUUAUCAUGUCGUAAUCGUGUUUACUUUUAACUCUUGCAAGAAGAGAGUAAAGUUGUCUUUGAAAGCAUUAAUCUUGAUGAAUCCAAAUCUCUUGUUAAUUUUUCUGACUCAGAAGUUUCAUGGUAAAAAGAAACCUCUUUUUUCUUAUGGUUAUAAGAGCGGGCUUUGCACCUUUUAUGCAUGUUAAGGUCACAUUGUAGAUACUUGUUAUAAGAAGCAUGGAUUUCCACCAAACUUUGGUCGAAUUUCUUCUGUGAAUAAUACAGAAUCAUCGCCUGAUAAUGUGUGUGUGGCUAGAAAUGUUGAAGAGCCACCAAAAGUUCAAUCAUCUUCAGAACCAAUGUGUUGUAAUCAAAUGCUGAAGAGCCACCAAAUACUAAUAAUUUACCCUCUUUAUUGUGUUGUAAUCAAUGCAUUUAAAUUUAACUUAAUUUUUUUAUUAAUUGAUUGUACAAAAUUCAAAAGAAUGUUUCUACUUUUGAGUUUUUACAUCCUAAAACAAAAGUAUUAGAACAUCCAAAUUUGAUAUCAAUUCCAAGUUUCAAAAACUUCACUAAGUUUUUUGAGACUUCAAACUCUCAUAUAUAUAUAUAUAUAUAUAUAUAUAAGGAUAUUUUAGCAAUUUACUUAAUUUAUUAUCGAAUAUGGGUACCCACAAGCACCAGUAUCAUCAAAUUCAUGUUUGUAUCAGUAAAGUAACGCAUAGUUAAAUACAUUUUUAUUAUACAUGUGGAUACAUGUUUAGCUACCUGCGCUUGUGCGGUUUUGCCCGUGACAAAUUUUACCCGCGUGCAUGAAUAUUUUUGUCAUCCCUAGUUCCAUCAUCUCUAAUUCAUGUGAUUCUUACUCUUUUCAAUUUCUUUUUAUUUAUUUUUAAUUCACAAAUUGAAGUACACAUUAGUAGACUUAUUCAAAUAAUCUUUUUAGUUUACUAUUAUUAGAGACGAGUCCUUAAUAGACACUUUUAUUAAAAUAUUAUAAAUAAAUGAUACGUAUACAUAGGACUUAUUUAAAUACCCUUUUUAACUUACUAUCAUUGUGGAUGUUCUAAAUACAUUUACGUACAUUAAAACUUUUUUAAUUUCAAUUUUUUAAAUGAAAAUUGAUUUUAAAACAAAUAAUUUGUUGACCGAGACAUGUCACUUUAGCACUUAACAUAGUUAGAAAGAAAGAAAAAAAAGGAUAACCGUGCAAACUACAAAUCAUUAAAGAGUUAAAUAACCAAUUUAAAACUUAAAAAAGCACCGGACAUUCAUGCAGAUGCUUUGGUUUUUGUGUGUGGAUAGUUUGGAACGAAAGAAAUAAUGGAAUAUUCAAGAAUACCCAACUUAAUAUGAUAGAUCUUGUAGAAAAGGUUAAGUAUAAUUCAUUGUGGUGGCUAAAAAGCUAACAAUGGCAACUUUAUUUAUGGCACGAGUAGAUGGUGAUCAAAUCCGUUACUUGUUUGGAUAUCAACUGACUUGUUUUUGUAAUUAUACACUGCUUGUUCUUUGGGGUGGUUUCUUUAGUACACUUUAUGCUAAAUAGGAUUCAUUGCCGUUGUUAAUAUAUUCUAUUUUUUAUUCUUAAAAAAAAAAAAAAAACUUAAAAAACAUAAAUGACUAAUAUGAUACAAAUAUAAAAAAUUUAAAGGACCUCGUUCUGCAUUACGUAUAUUUUUCUACACAUUUAAUUACUUAACAUGAGUUCUACAUGUCAAAAUUCUCUCUAUUUUUCCAUUAUCAAAGUUUUAGAAAUAUAAAUACAAUAUUGUGAUAUUUGAUGGUUCCAAUUAUAUAACAUAUACCACAAUGUUCUUUAUUAUAAGGGGAAAAUAGUUUUUUAGAUUUAUUUAAUAAAUAAUGUAUUUAGUAUAUAUUAGAGAUCAAAUAUAAUAUCAUUUAAGCAUGAGUUUUCUUAAUUCUGGUGUUUUGAAUCAUUCAACAAUUAGUAUAUUUUGCCCUAUAACUCGGUAUUAAAUAUCCAGUUAUAAAUGAUGCAUUUAGUUUAUAUCAAACAAUUUUUUAAAUUCUCGUGUUUUCUUAAAACAGUCAUAUGGAUCGAUGUAAUAUUUUUUUUCUUUUUUUACGUCAAAGACAAUUUCAUUAAUAAAAGUCUGGCAAUAAAAUAAAUGACAAGACUACAUAAAUACAAGGCGGAGUCUCUUUGAUCCAUUUGCAAUCUGAAUUAUGAAGAGCAUAUUUAGUGAAAUAAUUAGCAACUUGGUUGGCUUCACGUCGAACAUGCAAAAAAAUUAAACUAUGAAGCAAACAUUAAAACUAAUACAAUCUCCAAUAAUAGAGCAAACAUAGGUGGAAGAUUAUUGAUGAGCAUUCAACGCUAAGACCACAUUAGAAGCAUCUGAUUCUGCUAUGAGAUUCAAAAAAGAGAUGUAUUUUGCAAAUUUCAAACCCUUCCGCAUAGCCAAGGCUUCUGCAACCUCUGAAUUUGGUAAUGAAAAGACUAGUCAGCAACUAGCAGCAAGGGUAUCACUUUCAUUAUUUCUUACUACAACAUCAAUACCCACUUACCAUCAUCUAUCAGACCUGAUGCAUCAACAUUAAGCUUAUAGAAAUCACUAAAAGAAUAUGUCCAAUGAACAUCAUAUAUUGGCAAAAUUAGACCACCAACAACAUCAUACAAACACUCUUAAAAUUUACAAUAAAUCUUUGUACUUUUUAAACUGUGGCAACCCCAUCAACAUCAGUCCACACAAAAUAUUUAUAUUUUUUAAGAUACUAAGUUGAUUUAUCAUUAAACCCCAACAAAAGUAAAAAAUUAACAAGUUGUACGUAAAAAGAAGUGGAAAAAGACAAAGUCGGUUGAAAGGUGGGAUUAUUUUAAUUUGAGUAUAUUGAAAAGUGGGAUUCACAUAUGGUCAAUCUCAACAAGUUAUCAUUUCAGACUUGGGUUGCCUUUUUAUAGUACAGAAUAAUGGUGACCUUUUGAGCAUUCAUAAAUUUAAUUCAAAAUAUUUUCCUUUUAUUUAAAUAUUUAAAAGGCUAGCUCAGUGAUAAGGGUCUUAUAGCUUUAAAGAUAUUUUUCCUUUAAGCCCUUUAAGUUAUUUAAUUAUAAUUUUUAAUUCUCAAAUAACUUAUAUUUUUAAGAUCUAAAAUAAUUUAAAUUGUUACAAUUAAUUAACAUAAUGGAUCUAAGUGGUAUAAAAAAACUUAAAAGAUCAAUUUAUUGCAAUUAAAUACUUUAAAGGACCUCUGAUGUAAUUUAGCUUAAAUUAUACUACUUCAAUUCUAAAUAAAAUCAAAACAAACUACUUCUUCCGGUCACAUUUAUUAACAAACACUAGACCUCAAAGCCACCUCCACGAUCUAUUGUUCUAUUUGCUAUCAGAUUUCCAUUAUCAAAUCACCCACCAUUUAUAUUUAUGCACCAAAUCCAUUGAUGUUGAGUUUGAGGGAUGUGUUGAAGAGUCUCACAUUUGAUUCGUGAUUGCCUAAAUAAAUGAUUAUAAGUGAUAACAAUCAUCACAUCACACUUCGCUUUUAUGGUGUUGAUUUAGGCUCAACCACAAAUUUUAAGAUCUAUCACCCCCAAUUUAGACUUCAUCAAAACCAUCAUUCAUGGAAAAUUCAUCAACUGACCCUCCAAAUAUUAUAUUGAAGGCACUAUACACUAUCAAACUCAAAUUGGUCCUCUCUUUGGCCAUCAGAUUUUCAUGCAAACUGCGCAUGGAUCCGCACAAUUUGAGUCUUAAGUCCAAUUUAGGAUACAAAUUGUUUUACAUAUUUAGUUUUAGUAAAAUAUAUAUAUUAUAGCAAAAGUAUAUUGGUGAAUUGCUAGAGAAAUUUAAUAUGGAAAGUUGUAAUUCAAUCUCAAAUCCAUCAGAGACUAACUAAAAGUUAGAUGAAUGCAAUGAAUAAGAGAAAGUGGAUUCAACAGAGUUCAGACAAAUGAUUGGAUCAUUGAGAUAUCUUUGCAACAGCUGGCCAAACAUUUGCUAUUCAAUCAGUGUGAUUAGUAACUUGGUGUUUUUGAGGCAAAUGUUUUGUUACAUUAAUUUGCUAAGAAUUCAAUAAGGCAUUAAAAUUUGAUAGAUUUGAGUUUUUAGGAAGAAACUUGGUGUUUCUCAACAUUCAGCAGUUAUGAAUUAAGGGCGAGCGUUAAGAUUUAAUCCAUAACUGCCAUGUAGCAAGUUAGUUAGAAUUUUGUUACAAAACUUCUUAGUUAGUUUGUUAGUUAGAUAGCUUGUGCUACAAACAAGUGUUAUAUUUGCCUAUGAAAGUCUUUGUAAGGUGUACAUUCAAUUCUUAAUGAGAUUCACAAUUACAAGCAAACUCUCUCCAUUCUCUUCUCUGUCAGUCUUACAAGUUUGUUUGUUAUUUUCUCAUCUUGCUUAAACCAGCUUAUUCUGAAAAGCACUUAUGUUACACAUAUUGAUCAAAGCUUGAUCUAACAUGAACACUUUCAACUCUAUGCAUGAGAUCGCUACCCAAACAAGUGUUCAUCAUUGCAAAACCUUCAACUUUCACUUUCUUUUUUCUUUACAUUAAGAGCCGACAAUGUCUAGCUUCAAUUCCAACGACCAUAGGUCGUAUUUUAACAAACUAAACAGGUUAAAAAAUUCCACAUGUUAAAGAUCUACAAGAGCCCUAAGGAAAUUUUGUCAUUGAAGCAUUUUGUGAAAAUGAAGCUUUUUCCCCUAUAAAUCAGGAUAAGCAAAUUAUUCUUUUCAUGAAAUUUAGUUAUUCUUGCUGUUGAUGGACCCUUUGGUAGACAAUCUCAAUUUCAACCGCAUCAAGAGGUCACAUAUUUUUGAGGUGGAAAAAAAUCCCUCCACAUACGGUACCUUACAUUGAGAAUGAAACGAAUAGCGAAAACAAAGAAAAAGUACAGUUGCAAAGUAUUCAAAAUACGUUUAUAAUUUAUUUUGUGAAAAAAAUAAAUACCCUAACUUUUAAUUUUAUGGGUGUGUCAUUCAUUACUCAUUGGUGUGUUUUCUUCCAAUGUUAUAUUGAAUUUUCUUAGGUGUGUUUGAUGUUGAAAUGAAAUUUGUCUGGAUCCAAACAUAUAUUAUGGUUGGCAGUUUGAUGUUUGCAAACAAUAUUUUUUUAUAUAUUCAACAACCAUAUUGCCCCUAUUUAUGGUGACGGAGAGAGAACUCUAUGAGGAAAGAGAUAAGAGAAGAAGUGUGUGUUUUUGUUGUGUGAGUCGAAUAUUUUCUGCAAAUAACUGUGAAAAUUAAUUCUUCGAGUUAGAUAGGUUUAUAAUAGGUGAUAUAAUUUUUCCUUAAGAGAUUUAAUACUGUUAUAUUUUUAGGAUUUGAUUUGUACCAGAACCUAUGAUUAAAUUGAAAGAUAUCUCUUUCUAUCUCAUUCAAAUGUUCUUGGGUAUCAGAAUUGUGUGCGGUAAUAUGUAAAUUAAAUAUCCUAAUUUUUAUUUCCAUAUAAUCAGAACCAUUAACUAUAGUUUUCUAAUUAAAUAGUUGAAGCCACCAAGGACCAACCUAGUAUCACAACCGCUAUCAGAGUUUGAUUCUCCAAUUACACAUUGACUACCAUAAAACUUGUGUCUUAAGAUUUGAUAAAAAAAAAAUUGCGUAUUAAAUUGACCAUCUUUUUUAAGCUACAAAAAAUUUAUUGCAAGUAAUAUAUUUUAUAUUCUAAAUCCAUCAAUGUAUAAAUUUCACAACAUUAAAAUUGAAUAAAGAAAAUAAAACUUCAACCUUCCAAUUUCACAUAUAGUAUGUUAAAUAAAGUUAGGUUAGGAACAAUACAUCCCUAGAUCCAAAAAUUAAGAUGAGUACAAAAAAGAAAAUCAUGAUAUAAAAAUAGUAACUCUAUUUCACAUUUAAAAAGCAUCACAAAGAUUCUUAUUCUAUAUAUAGAUGUAAUUACACAUUACACACAUCACAAUAAAGAAAACAAAACAAAAAAGAACCACAUUAAGUGUUUCUCAACAACCUUAAAAGCAAAAACUUCAACUCCUAGUGUUUAAUCUCUCCCUAGUGAUUAGUACCAUAUUGAUUAAUGAGUGAAAGAGCAUUACUAGUAACCUGAGCAAGAUUAACCAUUCUUGAUCUAAUAGAGGUUUUCAUUCUUCCAUCAAGUGCUUUUCCACCAAAGCCAUCACUACAAGUACUUGCAUCAGUCAUAGAUGAGCUAACCCAUGUUUGAACAUUACUUAUAUGCCAAUUGAAAUCUUGACCAUUGAUCUUGCAAAGUUUAAGCUCCUUAAGUGAACGGCUAAGCCUAUCAACACUAUCAGUAAUUUCUUCAACACAAUCAUGAAGAGCAGCAUAUUCUCUUGGUUUAAGACCUUUAAACUUUUUGCACUUUGUAACAAAGCCUUUUGUGGAUUGAGUUUUGUUUAGGCUAAGUGAUAAAGCUGUUUGGACCAAUUGAUGAGGGUCUUGUUGGAUUGUUGUUGCAUAGACAGAGAGAGAUUCAACACAAAGUGUUGGGUAUGAUGUUGUGCUACAUGAGGAUUUGAUGAAGUUUGUUGGUGUUGAAGUUGCAAUAGAGAGGAGAGUUAAGAGAAGGAAAAGAAGGACAUUUGUUGCCAUGGUGGUUGAGAUUUAGUUAGAGAGAAAAACACUAGAUUUUGUUGUGGUUAGUUAUAUGACUUGUGAGAAUGAGAAUAUGGAUCGAGAUAUUAUAUAGAUAUAGAUGAGGGAUGGGAAUGUGAGUCAAUAUAGUUCACAUACCAUGUCAUAUGCCUAACUUACCAUAACAUAUGCCUAACUCUAUGUGGUAGGGUCAAUAUAUUACUUUCUUUUUUUUUAGAGAAAUAUUACUUUUGUUUUAUAACAAGGAAAAUAAUAGAGUACUUUUGCAAAUCGUGUGUUUAAACGUAAACUCGUUUGACUUUACGUUUUUAAGUAUUAAAAUUGUGUAAAUUUAAACGUAAACUCAUUUUUUGGUAAAUUAGAAAGUUGAUCGAAUUUCACCAAGUUAACAUGGUUUAAAAUCGAUAAAAUCGGAUAAACUCGUCCAAGUUUGCGAGUUUACCUUUUAAAAACACAAUUUUUUUGUUUGUUUUGGGACAGUUUUCAAUUAAAAUUCAAUUCAUUUUUAUAGGGCAACCCAAUAUCACAAUGUUAUGAUCGCGCGACACUUCUUUUUUUCUUCUCAAAAACAUACAACAAAAUUUUGCUCUUCUCUUCUCCUUCAUCAUCGUUCUCCAAACUUUGAUCCUAACUUUCUUCUCAAAAUCGAUUCCAAUGUCGGAGAUUGUGAUGUCGGAGAUUUUGAAUAGUUUUAUUAACAACUUUAGACACUUGUAAACUUGCUUUUGUGGAUGGCUUAGAGACUUAUGAAACUUAUGAUUUUGUGCGUUAAUUUUUGUAUUUUGAUGCUAAGUUAAGCAUAAUAUUUUAUAAUGAUAGUUUGUUAUAAUUUACCUUUGUAAGUAUGUCAUAUUUUACAUUAUUGACCUAUUUACAAUAUUAUAUUAGGUUAUAUAUUUCAUGCAUAUAAUAAAUUUUACAUAAUUUUCAUUUUAGAUAAACUCGUACGAGUUUUCGAGUCGAAUUUACCUUAACAAAACGAAUUGAGAUAAACUUUCAAGUUGCAAAACUUAAUUUCUUUAGAGUAUAAAAAUGUCUCAAUAUUUUUUUAUUGAUUGAUGAGGAUAGGCACACUAUCACGGAAACUGUUGGCGCUAUGUUCUGUUAUCACAAACAUGGUAUGGGCAAUCAAAUAAUUAAGGCUAUAAUAUGCUUUUAGUUCCGAUAAAUAUAGCGAGUUUGAAUUUUAGUCCCUAGUAAAAACAAAAAAUUAAAAUCAUUCCUGCAAAAUUCUCUAUUUUUUAAAAAAGUCGUUGGCUCCACUUUUCAGCUUAUUUAGCACAUUUUUAUCUAGAUGGCAGAUGAUGAUUGUACAAUCAAGUACAUAUGGCAUACAAAUGGCAAUUAUUUUAUUUCAACUACUUAAAAACAUUUAGAAAAAAUCAGAAAAUAUAUUUAUGAAAUAAAAAAAGUUUAUUUUAAUAAUUUAUUAAAAACAACAUAUCCCUUCUACUUCACCCUCCUCUUCUUAUUCGCAGAUCUCUUCUGCAUUCCUCUUCUUCUUCACCUUCCAUUCAAUCAUAUUCAUCGAUUAAUCUUUCUUCAAAUCAAAAUUUUAGAAAACGAAAUUCAUCUUCUUCAAAUUAAAAUUCUUUUGUUCGCAAAUUCAUCCAAAUCCAAAUUAUGGAGACACUGUGUGGGACGAAAUACAGUGUUGGUCGAAAUCGAAAAAGAGGAUGAAGUACAAAGAGGUUGAAAUCGAAAUCGAAAUAAAAAUUAUAGAAACACAUGAUUGAGGAUGAAUUGAACAUCUGAUGUCUACAUCGAAAAAGAGGAAGAAAGGGGAAAAAUCUAAAACCCUAUAAUUUUCCCAUUUUCUGAUUUUGGGUUUGUGAUGAAGUUCUUGAUGAAUUUUUGGGGUUGGGAUUGAGUUUGGGAUGAAGUUCAUGAUAAAACACAACUGUUCUACCAUUUUUCAUUUAAACUCAAAAUCUAAUAAACGAACGUCUCUUUCUCAUGCAAAUCUUAGAAUUUAACAAUGAUUUGUUUGCACUGAAAAACAAAGUUGUCGACGUAUAACAGUUUUUUUUUUUUGUUUUUUGGGGCCGACGUAUAACAAAGUUGUCCACACAUAUAUCUUAAUGUGAUCGAAAAAUCCCAAAUAAUACAAUAGAUUUGUAAUUAAGUUCUAUGCUUUUUAACGAGAUGAUUGAUGGGUUUGGAUUAUUAUCCAAAAUAAAUUAAAAAAUAAAAUAUCCUGUUCUGUGAUGACCCACUUGGCAAAAUUAUUUUAACACUCGCAAAUCAUGCAGCGACAUGGUCCCUUGUAUUAUUUUCAACCGACAUUAGCAUAGUACGAUAUAAAUCAGCUUUCGUUAAAUUAAUAGUAUUACUUUACUUUUGAUGAACAAAAGAGGCUUUACCCAAAGCAAGAUAUAUCAAUUAUGAAGUGUUAUUUGAACAACUAUUUUAUGGGACAACACGUAGGAUUAUCAAAAUAUAUAAAGAAAUAUAGUUAUUGAACCAAAAACUAAAAUAAUGUAGAGAGAAAGUGAAAAAUCUAUGUAAAUAUGAGAGAUAAAGUUGUAUAAAAAUUAUUAUAAAAUGGUUGUUCAAAUAUCAUUUAUUUAUUCAAAUACAAACUAAUCCAAAUUAAAUCCGUAAAAUAAUCAAAAAAUUGAAAACAGUACAAAAUCAAAUAUUAUUAGAUAUGUUUGUAUAUUUUAUAAAAAUCAUUCAUAUUAGAUCAGAAUUUAGAUUUAUUUUUCAAAACAGAAUCAAACUAAACCGAAUCACAUACAUGUAUUUUAAUGUCUAUUUCUAAUUUUUAUAAGUAUGAUAUAUUACAUUAAGCUAUUACUUUUUUCCUUUUUAACUCUUUUAACUCUACAUAUUAGUUUAAUUUAAUCUAUUUUAUUAUUAUUUCAUAUGUUUCAAAGAUAAUUGAUAAUUGUUAUUCCGUAGAAUUAAUUUUUAAUAAAUAAUAUAUUAUAUUACCAUAGUUAUAAACUUAGUUAAAAUAGAAGUUUGCAUGCAGCAGAAUGUUACAUCUUUGAAUAGCUUUAUGGAGAACAAGUGGUCAAAGGGAUUUUUAACACAAUCAUCCUAGUUAACAUAGGGAUCCUACUUUCUCAAGAUUAACAACUACUCCCUCCGUCCCAAAUUAUAUGACGUUUUGGAUAGGGGUGUACAUGGGUUGGGUUAAUCCGGAAAACCCGGUCAAACCCACCCAAAGAAAACCAAAAAAAUGGGUUGGGCCGGGUAAAUGGGUGAAUGUGGUUUUAAAAAUUGAUAUACCCAUAAAAUAAAAUGGGUUCCGGGUAAAACCGGACCCAAACCCAAAAACCCAUUUUAACCCGGAAGAUGAGCAAUCAAUACAUAUAUUCCAAUUUUUCUCAAACGUUAAUACUGAAAUUUUUUUUUCUUCUCAAGGAGCAUUGAUACUAUACACAUUCCAAUUUCAUAAGUUCAGUUUCCAAAUAGUGUUCACCGAUACAUAUUUCAUUUUGCCAAUUUUCAAUUCAAUGUUCAAUUCAAUAUAUAAAGAGACCAACAUUAACCAACCAGUAAACCCAUCUACCAAAAUCAAACUCAUUCGUUCCAGCAAUAACAUACUAUUUAUGAAAGAUUCAUUUCACACAUUGCAUAACAAUAAUUUCUCGUUCCAGCAUACCAUUUUUCUUAAUCCAUAGUUGUUUUGCAUCAUCAAAGUAAGCUUGCUUCUUGUGGCUAAAUUGACAGUACCAUAUCUAACUCAUGUUCAUUUCUUUUUUUAGUUUGCACAAAAGGUGCUUGAUGAAAUGUCUACUUCAUAUCAAUAUUUUUUAAUGUUUAUUUAUAGUAUCUACUUAUAAGUUAGAAUUGAAAAAUACUUUAAUAGUUUGAUUUUUCGAUUCUCUUUUAUUUUAAUACUGUUGUACAUGAUUGUUAAUGCAGGAGAACAUGGAUGUUGAUGAUGUUCCUACAAAUGCUGUGGAAAAUCCAAUUGAUGUUGAUUCUGAUCAUGACUUACAAGGUGAAGCGGCAGGUGACGUCGGAAAAAAUCGUAAGCGUUCUCGUGCUUGGGAUCAUUUUGUACCAGACGGUAAAAGGGCAAAGUGUAUUUACUGUAAUAUGACGUAUGCUGCUGAAGGUAAUACACAUGGAACCACAAAUCUCAAUAAACACUAUAAGAAAUGCCCCAAGAAUCCAAACAGGGUAAUUGACAAGGCACAAAAAACCCUUGUACUUGGGAAGCAAGUAGAGGGUGAUAGUAAUGUCUCUUUUAAGCUUGUUGAAUUUAAUCAAUUAGAGUGUAGAAUGGAGCUUGCUAAGAUGAUUAUCAUUGAUGAACUUCCCUUUAAACAUGUUGAAGGUGUUGGAUUUAAAGGUUUUAUGAGUCGUGCUCAACCUCGUUUGAAAAUUCCUAGUCGUGUCACUGUUGCUAAAGAUUGUAUGGAAUUAUAUAAGGAAGAAAAAGUGAUCUUAAGAUCUUUGUUGUCUCUCAACCAGCAAAUGGUGUCAUUGACCACUGAUACGUGGACCUCAAUUCAGAACAUGAAUUACAUGUGUGUGACAGGUCAUUUCAUUGAUGAAGGGUGGGAAUUACAAAAAAAGAUUUUAGGCUUUGGGUUAAUUGCUAACCAUAGGGGUGACACCAUAGGUAAAGCCUUAGAAAAAUGCUUGAAAGAUUGGGGAAUUACUAAACUGUGCACAGUUACAGUAGAUAAUGCUAGCUCUAAUAAUGUUGCUCUAUCUUAUUUGACUAGAAAUAUGAGUGCUUGGAAUGGAAAUACCUUGCUUAAAGGGGAGUAUAUGCAUCUGCGGUGUUGUGCCCAUAUCUUGAAUUUGAUUGUUUUUGAUGGAUUAUCUCUUAUAGAUUCAUCCAUUUCUAAGAUCAGGGCUGCUUGCAAGCAUGUUAAGUCAUCUCCUUCUAGAUUGGCAUUGUUUAAAGUGUGUGUGAAAGAUGCAAACAUUUCUAGCUCACAAAAGGUAGUAAUUGAUGUAGCAACAAGAUGGAAUACCACAUAUUUAAUGUUGGAGGUAGCUUCUAAAUAUGAAGAGGCAUUCAACCGCUUGGAGGGUGAAGAUCCUUCAUAUGUGUCUGAACUUGAGGUCGUAGGAGGAACUCCAACUGUGUAUGAUUGGAACCGUGCCCGUGUGUUUAUCAAUUUUCUGAAGAUAUUUUAUGAUGCUACCCUAACUUUUUCCUCUUCUUUACAUAUAAGUGCUAACUGUUUCUUUAGAAAGUUGGUGAAGAUUCAUACUGCACUGUCAUCAUGGAUUCAAGGUGAAGAUGUUGUGUUGAAAAACAUGGCAUUGACUAUGAAAGCUAAAUUUGAAAAGUAUUGGAGUGAUGAGAAUAUCAAUUAUCUGUUGUUUGUAGCUGUUUAUCUUGAUCCUAGGUACAAGAUGGAGUAUCUUGAUUUUUGUUUUGGUUGGAUGUAUGGGGUGGAAAAGGCUAAAAUGAUAAUUGCUAAACUGCAUGAACUCAUAGGCAAAUUGUUUGAUUAUUACAAGUCAGUGCAGCCUAUUGGUUUUGUUUCUAGUGAUUCCUCCUCUAGCUCCACUAAUACAAUGCAAAGUGAUGUUGUUACUUUCGGUGUUGGAGGUAAUGUGGAUAUGGAUGCUUUGCACCGAAGAAGGGUUAAAAGAAGGCAAAGUGAACAUAACUCAAGUGAGUUGGUAAGAUACUUAGAAGAUGAGGUUGAAGAUGAUUAUGAAGGAUUUGAACAUUUGAAAUGGUGGAAAAGUAAGAGCACAAAGUACAUUGUUCUUUCUCUCAUAGCUAGGGAUAUAUUAUCGAUUCCGAUAUCUACUGUUUCUUCUGAGUCUGCCUUUAGCACUGGAGGUCGUGUUAUUGAUCCAUACCGUAGUUCUUUGAAAGCUGAAACAGUUGAGGCUUUGAUCUGUACUCAAAAUUGGAUCAAGCCUGUCACAAGGUCUGUUUUAGAUGAAAGUAAAGCAUUUGAUGUGCUGGAAUUUGAAACAGGUAUUAAUUGUUUCUUAGCUUUUAUCUUUUUAUUUUAUCUUUUAGUUUUAUUCUUACAUUGUUUAUUUUUUUAUGUCAUUAGAAAUGUCAUAUUUGAAUGGUCUCGAGGAGUUUGCAGCUGAAUCCCUUGACGAGUAACUAGGUAAAAAUCUAAUACCAUUGUUUCAUGUUUAUACUAAUUUUGUCUUGUGUGAUUGGUGUUCCUGUUGUUGAUGGGGUAGUCUAUUUCCUGUUGUUGAUGAAGUUUACGUUUUUUAGUUGCAUACUACUACUAUGUGUUUUUCUUAUGUGCCUUCAAUUAGAGCCUGACUUACAUAUUAAUGAAGGUUGUUUGUCACUGUCAUGAUGUCCUGGCAGGUUUAGCAACUUGGGUUAUAUUGAGUGAUCUUUUGAAUUGGGAUUACACAUGUUUGUCUUAAUUUUUCAUUAACAUUUCAGAUUUUUCUUGCUCAUUAUUAUGUAAUGUAGUGCUGAGAUUUUCACAAUGGAUAAAUGUAUAUGUUUCUUGCUGCAUACUUUUGAACUCCAAUCUAUGACAUAAUUAUCACUUAUGUAGUAUUUAUGACAUGCAUACUUUUGAACUCCAAAUUGGUAGUCUAUGAACUAAUGCUUUAAUUUUUAUUAUCACAGUUUGGUGGAGAUGGAGAAUAUAAACGAUGAAGUCAGGACUCUUUUGAAUUGUGGGGAAUGUUAAUGAUGACAUCAAGACUCGUUUCUUGUUAUGUUUUGGGCUCUUUUUUGUAUUUGAUGAGACAUGAUUUUGGUUUAUUUUGACUUGGUUGUUGCAAUUUGUCUCUUGAACAUUUGUUGUUUUCUUUUGCCAAGACUUUAGCUAAUUUAAGAUGAUGCACUCUUUGAGUAUUUUUAUUCUAAUGCAAUUUUAUGUUAUGCAAUGUCUUUAAAUUUUUGAGUUAUUUUUAUGAAAAAAUUAUGAUGACUUGUCAUUUGGUUUAAUACUACAAAAAAAAAGAAGCAAAAAUUAAUUCGGGUAACCCACUACCCAACCCAAUCCAACCCGGAAAUUAGUGGGUUUACCCAAACCGGCCCAAUAGUUUAACGGAUGGACAUUUUAUCUCACCCAAACCGGAGUACCUUAUAUGGUUUGGGUUUUGGAUUUGGCCAAACCCAACCUAAACCGGCCCACUUACACCCCUAGUUUUGGGCAUUUCACACAUAUUAAGAAAUACAAUUAAUAUUGUGUGGAAAAGAGAUAUUAUGAGUUGUUUUACAAAAUUGUCCUUAAUAAAUAAUAUGGGAAAGAUAAAUGAAAGAAUUGAAAGAAAAGAGAGUAAUAAAUAGCUAAGGUUAUAAUAGGAAAAGUAACAUUAAUGUUGCAUUGGUAUUGUAAAGCGACGUAUAAUUUAGGACAAAUAUUUUUCCCUAAAGCGACAUAUAAUUUGGGACGGAGGGAGUAGUAACUAAAUUAACUACGCAACAUUAUAUUCUAAAAGUUGUUGAUCUGAAAUUCUUGGUCAUGUUGUUAAACAUUUUGAAGCCAAUAGUUACUUCAAAUAUACAUUGUAAUGCAUGAUUAAUUUUUUAAAUUUUAUUUAAAUUUUUAUGUGAACUAAAUAAAAGUUCUUAUAAAUUUUUCCGCACUUGAGAAAAAUUAGUUUAAGUUCUUCUGAAAAUGAAGUGUUACGCUAGUAAAACGGCUAUAGUCAAAAUCAGGAAUUGUACCACAAAGACAGUCUAAGGCAUUGUCAAAAUCAGAGUCCUUACCACUUAUCCAAAGCCUCUACUGGCAAGUACAUUCCUAACUCACCAACCAUAGAUAAAGAAGUCAACCUCCAUUAAAGAUCCCUACAUAUAAAACCACCACUAACCACAAUGUCUUUAUGGUGAACUCCUCGAUAAAACCUUUAUCUAAACUAACAUCCUCUUUGAGCAAAUUCUCCCACAACAACAUGUCCUAAAGGAACGACAACCCACGAUACUUAUUACCAUCACAUGAAGGUUAAAAGAUCGUCGACUAUCGAUUAUUCCAUUCAAAGCCCAAUCUUGGUCCGGACCUCCAAAUAAUGUCUAGUGCUUUGGCCACCUCCUCUAAAUCCUUUACAAUAGUCUCAUCAUCAAGAUACCAAGCAUUAAGAAGAAACUUGCAACUGUAUAUGAUAUUUUUGUGAAAGUGAAUCAAAAUUGGAGUUUUAAAUUUGUCAAAAUCAGUGGCCGAAUGGAGAAAUCGGGGCCUGGUUUUGACGGUGUUUUUCAGCCUUUUCUUUACGUGGAAAAUCGGUGGCUGAAGAGAAAAAUCAGGGCCCGAUUUUGCCACCAGAAAAUAAAACAGAAAUGUAUUUUCGGGCUUAGAUUUGUUCUAGUUUUUUGAGGGAUACUUUUACUAUAAAUAUAGAACUUGUAUCAAAAGUAAACCUUGAUGUAGAGAGUCUGAAAAUAAGGGUUUAGAAGUUAACAAGAAAACUAGUGUUUGUAUAUAGUUUGCUCUUGGCAACAAACACUAGGGUUAGGAUUGAUUCACCAUGGGAAACACUAUUAGGAUUGAGUCUCUUGAUCACGGGAAGAGAUUGGGACUUUGGGUAGAAAUAGACGGGAGACUUAUUCGUGUAACCCUUUGAUAUGUCUUUUGUAAAGUUACUUUUGGAACGGAUGGCUGCUCUCUCCACCAGACUAGGUCAGUAUUAGACCGAACUGGGUAAACAAAUUUUGUGUAUUCUCUCUUUCUUUUCUCUCGAUGUUUUCUAAUUUUUUCUUGUGUUUAUAAUUGUUCCCACGUUGAUAUUGAUUGCUUGAUUAUUUUUCUCACAUCAAAUUUUUUACCUUUUAAAUUUUUUAAAAAGCAAUUAUUAAAAUUUUAAACAAAAUUGCUCCUUAAAAUCUUAAACAAAUGCUUUGGUUAUUUUAUAGCUGAUGUUCCUCCAUGUUGCUUUAAAAUGGCCGAUGUGGGACAGUAUUAAAAUGUUAGUUUGAAAGCUUAAACUAGAGAAGUAUUUUACAACAUUCUUGGUUUUACCAUUCAUUCAAAAUACUCUUCCACUUCCAUAUAUAUAUAUAUAGACACGCUGUCGAACCAACCCAUAAAUCAAUCGAGUCGAACUAUAUACAACUCAAGUUCAGCUUAUUUAUUUAACAUACAAAAUUUUCAGCUUAAGUUCAACUCAUUUGGUUCAUGAACCAAGUUCAACAAGAUAAUUGUUGAAUCGAAUUCUGAACUAUUGUCGAGUUGGUUCGGUUCAUUACAAACCAAGCCACACAUAAUUGUUAAACUAAUAUUAGGAUUCCUAAUAUUACAUCCAUGGAUUCAGAAAUUAAGAUGAGUAGUAACAGCAAAGGUGCAAACAAGAAAAUCAUACAUAAAUAGUAAACACUAUUUCACAAUUCAAAACUAUCACAAAGUUCCAUAUUCAAUAUAUAUAUAGAUGUAAUUACACAUUACACACACCAAAUCACAUAAAACAAAAAAGGAACCACAAUUAAGUGUUUCUUAACAAUCUCAAAAGAAAAAACUUUGAUUCCUAGUGUUCAAUUUCUCUCUAGUGCUUAGUAGCAUAUUGAUUAAUAAGUGAAAGAGCAUUACUAGUAACUUGAGCAACAUUAACCAUUCUUGAUCUAAUAGAGGCUUUCAUUCUUCCAUCAAGUGCUUUUCCACCAAAUCCAUCACUACAAGUGCUUUCAUCAGUCAAAGCUGAGCUAACCCAUGUCUCAACAUUGCUUAUAUGCCAACUGAAAUCCUCACCUUGGAUCUUGCAAAGUUUAAGCUCUUUUAGUGAACGGCUAAGCCUAUCAACACUAUCAGUGAUUUCUUCAACACAAUCAUGAAGAGCAGCAUAUUCUCUUGGUUUAAGACCUUUGAAACUUUUGCACUUUGUAACAAAGCCUUUAGUGGAUUGAGUUUUGUUCAGGCUAAGUGAUAAAGCUGUUUGGACCAAUUGAUGAGGGUCUUGUUGGAUUGUUGUUGCAUAGACAGAGAGAGAUUCAACACAAAGUGUUGGGUAUGAUGUUGUGCUACAUGAGGAUUUGAUGAAGUUUGUUGGUGUUGAAGUUGCAAUAGAGAGGAGAGUCAAGAAAAGGAAAACAAGGGUAAACUUUGUUGCCAUGUUUGAUUUUGAGGGUUUAGAGGAAAACACAAGAUUUUGUUUUGUG